GGGUAUUGUCAGUCAUCUUUGGUUUCUGAUUUCUUGUGAGAGAUUUGGAAGAAUUCAAAUAAAUCGAAAGCUCAAAUGCUUGAAAAAUGAAAACUCUUGGUAGUAAAGGAAUGCCAUAGCAGCCAUGAUUUAUACUGGUUUAAACCAGUCCGUCGCUGGACAUGUACUAUUCCACGUGUCAAGCUACGAUUGCUCGGAAUAAUAUCUGUUUUGAGGUUGAGAUUAUGGGGGCCUUUCACCAGGGGGGUUGUGAAUAAUUAAUGUGCUAAUUUUCUUUGUUUGUUAAAAAAAUAAUAAAAAGUUCUUUCGGUUAUUUCUUAACAGAUUCAAUUAAGAAAGGAUCAUGAUUGAGGGAUCCAAAAUCUUGAGCCCAAGACACCAAAGUUACAUACAUACAAUAUUGUCCAAAUCUUAUGACAUGAUUGAGAAAAAACAUAUUAUAUACAUACAAUAUUGUCCAAAUCUUAUGACAUGAUUGAGAAAAAGCAUGAUUAGUAAUUUAAAUAUUACAUCUUGUAAUCAUGAUAAAAAAAAAAUUAUAUAUAUAGAUUCUAGCAUGCAUGUUCAAAUUGAAUAUAUAUUAAACUUAUAAUUGAUAUCUAAAUAAAAUUCUAGUAUGUAUAGUAAUCAUAUAAUAUAUCUUUAUAAAAACCAAACUUAAGCUCUAAAGUAUAGAAAAAAAAAGUCAAAAAACGAGUCUUUUUAUGAUCUUUGUUUGUUUGCCAAAAUGUUUUUUUUUUUUUUUAACACAUUCAUAGGUUGUUAACCACUUUUAUGUGGUAUAAUUAAACUAAUAAUUUUUAUAAAUUUUUUUAUUUGUAACAUAAACAUAUAAAAAUUAUAAAAUAAACAAAAAAAUAUUAAUAUUUUUUCAAGUCUUUUAAAAAUGGAUAAAAAACCGUUGUUCCAAACUCGACACCAAACACACACAGACACUUGCUCUAAAAUGUAAAUCCCAAUUAGGUUACAAAGAAAGCUUGGUUUGAUCAUCUUAGGUGUGAAAUCUAUUGAAGAUCAAUCCAGAAUUUUCUCACCGCCUACCAUCUUCGGAUCAUGUAGAAAUAUCUAUCCAUAACUCCAGCAGAAAAUAUCUUAGCUACAUGUGGCUGGUGUUGUGUUUAGUAUUACGUUUUAGAAGUAUUUAAAAAAAUAAUAAAAUAUUUUUUAUUUUAAAUUAAUAUUUUUCAGAUUAUUUUUUAUAUACUGAUAUUAAAAUAAUUUUUUAAAAAUAAAAUAAAAAUUAUUUUAAUAUAUUUUAAAAUAAAAAACAUUUUAAAAAAACUACCAUACACCCAAAGACACGUGACAUAUGAUGUAUGCUGGAAAUUUCUCCUACCGACAUAGCAUAGCCACGUGUGGGUGUGUGUGUGGUUCCUUCAUUUUGUGUGGUGGGCAACGAGUGAGAAGAUAGAUGAAUAAGUGAAAGAGUGUCAGAAAAAAGAGAGAUAAUAAUGAAGAGAGUAUUCAGUGUGUGUCGCGUGAGCUUUUGGAAACGCGUUAUCUCGCUUUUUCAAAAAACUUUUAAAUUCUUUUUAUUAAAAUUUAAUUUUUUAUAUAUUUUUUUAAAUAAUUUUAAUAUAUAAAUUUCAAAAAUAAUUUUUAAAAAAUAAAAAAAUAUAUUAUUUUAAUAUAAAAAAUCCUUUAAAAAAUAAUUAUAACUAAAAUGACAAUCACCCAGUUAAAAGACGUAUAAAUUAGUUAGCUUCAAAGUCGUUGCUCAAAAUUCAUGUUCAACAAAGUCUUUUUAUUUUUAUAACAAAAAUUUUCAAAACAUUUAUCGAAAAAGCAAUGUAAAAAAUAAAAAACAUUAAUGGUUAUGGAUAAAGAAAAAAACCAAUGAAUAAUUAAUAUAAAACUUCAUUUUUUUUAAGAUUUGUUUUAUCACUUUCUUUCAAUAUUUUUUUAAUUAUAUAUAAAAUACCGAGAUUUUGAGAUUUUGUUUGAAUGUUAGAAUUAAGAUUUGCUUUUAAGGCCUGGAAAAUAUUGAUUGCAAUUUAUAAAAUAUUCUGAUAUUAGGUUAAUAAAUGAUUUUACAAUUGUUUUUUAUUGUAUUAUUAAAUAAAAUAUAAUUUUAAAAAAUAUAAAUUCUAGUUAAAAGAGUUUUUAAAUUUAAUUUACUGGAUCGGAUUUAAUAAUAAUCUAAAAAAACAUAAGUUUAAUUUUGAAAAUUUUAUUUCAAAGUAUUUUUUUUUCUUUAUUAUAAUUCCUACACUACCCUAAAAGCUCAUUUAAAAACUUAGGCUGCCUUUUCUUUCAUAGAAACAAUUUGCAGUAUAUUUGACAUCUAAUAUACUUUUCACUUAUAACUUAGGCUGCCUUUUCUUUCAUAGAAACAAUUUGCAGUAUAUUUGACAUCUAAUAUACUUUUUCACUUAUAAGAUAGUUUUUAGCUUUUAAUGUAAAAUGAGAUAUAUUAAUUAGGUGUUUGUAUUUUUCCUCUUUUUGUUUACUUCAGCUAAUUUUGUUUCUUCAUAAUAAUAGCAAUGGAUUAAGAUUAAUUAAGAGUGAUGAUCUAAGUGGAGCAAUGUUAUGGAAUUCUAAGCUGCUCUUGAACUCACACUUCAGGGACUUUAGACUUAGUCAGAUUCAUAAACACCAAAUAUUCAAGGAGUGAAUUAAUAGCAAAGUAUAGAUAUAUAGGGCCAUCUGGACAUGCAGGAUGCCAUGAAGAUGAAGGAAUGUUGUGCUCUCAUAAACCGAGACAAAAGAUCUUUAAACAAGUACGUACGAAACUGAAGUAAAAUUUCACUAAUUAGGGCAAAAUCUGCCUGCAAACAUCGAUCACGAGAGAGCUACAGAGAGAGCUCUCUUCUUUAUACGAAAGGAAAUGGCAGAAACAAAACAAGAGAUGAACAUAGCAUUUAAUUUCUAAAUUGCUAUAGACAAUUAUUGGACUGCUCCAUUCAGCUACUUCAUUUGUUCAUGCCAGUUGCAUUCUUCACUCCUUCAACAGCUGCCUGUGCCGUAGACAUCACCUGUUGACCAGCCUAAACCAAGAACAGGUAUCAUAAGUAUAUUAUACAUUUGUCCAUUGUAUUCUUGAGCACAAGCUACUGUAGUGGUGAGGAUGAAUUCUCUCAAAAAUAAAACACAGAAAAUGAGAUUGAAGGAAAGUAUUUGAAUACCCCUUGCACUGAUUCCUUUGCAUAUUGAGCAGCAUUACCAGCUUUGUCCAUCAUGGUAGGACUGGUCUUCUCCUGAAACAAACAAAAUCCAUGCCUUAUCACGUAUUGGAAGAGAAAUAUCAUUGUGUUCUUGAGCACAAGCAAGUGUAGAGGUGAGGAUGAAUUCUCUUAAAAAAAACAUAUAUAGACAUGAGAUUGAAGGAGAGUAUUGAAUACCCCUGUCACUGAUUGCUUUGCAGAUUGAGCAGCAUUACCAGCUUUGUCCACCAAGUUACUGGCCUUCUCCUGAAACAAACAAAAUCCAUGCCUUCAUGUAUUAGAAGAGCAAAAUCAAGCAGAUUCAUAAAUAAAAAGGAAGAAAUAAACAAAUUCACAGGCUGACCUGAGUUUGGCCCUUGGCCUCACCAGCUUGGAAGCUCAUCUUCUGGGUAUUGUCAGUCAUCUUUGGUUUCUGAUUUCUUAUAAAAGAUUUGGAAGAACUCAAAUAAAUCGAAAGCUCAAAUGCUUGAAAAAUGAGAACUCUUGGUAGUAGAGGAAUGCCAUAGCAGCCAUGAUUUAUACUGGUUUAAACCAGUCCAUCGCUGGACACGUACUAUGCCUCGUGUCAAGCUACAGAUUGCUUGGAAUAAUAUCUGUUUUGAGGUUGAGAUUAUGGGGGCCUUUGACCAGGGGGGUUGUGAAUAAUUAAUGUGCUAAUUUUCUUUGUUUGUUAAAAAAAUAAUAAAAAAUUCUUUCUGUUAUUUUUUAACAGAUUCAAUUGAGAAAGAAUCAUGAUUGAGGGAUCCAAAAUCUUGAGCCCAAGACACCAACACUUUAUACAUACAAUGGUGUCCAAAUCUUAGGACAUGAUUGAGAAAAAACAUGUUUAGUUUAUAAUUUAAAUAUUACAUCUUGUAAUCAUGAUAAAAAAAAAAAUUAUAUAUAUAUAUAUAUAGAUUAUAGCAUGCAUGCCCAAAUUGAAUAUAUAUUAAACUUAUAAUUUAUAUCUAAAUAAAAUUCUAGUACUUAUAUUAAUCAUAUAAUCUAUCUUUAUAAAAACCUAACCUAAGCUGUAAAGUAUAAAAAAAAUUUCGAAAAAGAGUCUUUUUUAACACAUUCAUAGAUUGUUAACAACUUUUAUGUGGUAUAAUUAAAGUAAUAAUUGUUUAAAGUUUUUUUUAUUUAUAACAUCAACACAUAAAAAUAAAAAAAUAUUAAUUUAAUAUUUUUUCAAGUUAAAUAUAUUUUUAAAAUAAAUAAAAAACUGUUGUUCCAAACUCGACACCAAACACACACAGACACUUGCUUUAACUAAGAACUGAUAUUGUUUGUCAAUGUAUUAUUUAAAAUGUAAAUCCCAUUUAGGUUACAAAGAAAGUUUGGUUUGAUCAUCUUAGGUGUGAAAUCUAUUGAAAGAUCAAUCCAGAAUUUUCUCACGGCCUACCAUCUUUGGAUCAUGUAGAAAUAUCUAGCCAUAACUCCCCCAGAAAAUAUCUUACCUCCAGGUGGCUGGGGUGUCUAGCAUUGCAUUUUAGAAAUAUUUUUAAGAAAAUUUAAAGUUAUUUUAUUUUAAAUUAAUUUUUUUAUUAUUUUUACAUUACUUUUAUAUAUUGAUAUCAAAAUAAUUUUAAUAUAUUUUAAAAUAAAAAACAUUUUAAAAAAACAGCCAUACACCAAAAGACACGUGACAUAUGAUGUUAGCCGGAAAUUUCUCCUACCGACAUAGCAUAGCCAUGUGUGGGUGUGGGUGUGUGUGUGGUUCCUUCAUUUUGUGUGGUGGGCAACGAGUGAGAAGAAAGAUGAAUAAGUGAAAGAGUGUGUCAGUAAAAAGAGAGAUAAUUAUGAAGAGAGUGUUCAGUGUGUGUCGCGUGACCGUAUGGAAACGCGUUACAUCCCGUUUUCAAAAAAUUUAAAAUUUUUUAUUAAAAUUUAAUAUUUUUUAUAUGUAAUUUCAAAAAUAAUUUUAAAAAAAUAAAAAUAUAUUAUUUUAAUAUAUUUUAAAAUAAAAAAUAUUUUAAAAACUAACUAUAAUCAUACUCAUAAACUUCAAAGUCGUUGCUAUUCAAAGUCGUUGCUCAAAAUUCAUGUUCAACAAAGUCUUUUUAUUUUUCUAGCUAAAAUUUUCAAAAACAUUUAUCGAAAAAACAAUGUAAAAAAAAAAAAACAUUAAUGGGUAUGGAUAGACAAGUGAGAAAAAAUAUGCCUUAUAUGAAGAAAAAAAAUUAAAACUUCAUUUUUUUAAGAUUUGUUUAUCACUUUCUUUCAAUAUUUUUUUAAUUAUAUACAAAAUACCGAGGUUUUAUUUGAAUGUUUGAGUUAAGAUUUCUUUUAAGGCCAUAAUAGAUUUUAGUUUGGAAAACAUUGAUUGCAAUUUAUAAAAUAUUUUGAUAUUAGAUUGAUUUUACAAUUGUUUUUUAUUGUAUUAUUAAAUAAAAUAUAAUUUUAGAAAAUGUAAAUUCUGGUUAAGAGUUUUUAAAUUUAAUUUACUGGAUUGGAUUUAAUAAUAAUAUAAAAAAAACAUAAGUUUAAUUUUGGAAAUUUUCUUUCAAAGUAUUUUUUUUUCUUUAUUAUAAUUCCUACACUACCCUAAACGUUCAUUUAAAAAUUUAUGCUGCCUUUUCUUUCAUAGAAACAAUUUGCAGUAUAUUUGACAUCCAAUACACUUUCCACUUAUACGAUAGUUUUUAGCUUUUAAUGUAAAAUGAGAUAUUUUUUAAGAAAAAAAAUUAAAAAUUUUAUAUUAUAUGGUGGAUUUAUUCUCAUUUUAUAGUUUGUUAAUUAAUCCACUCUAUAAUCUACUUUUAUUACUUAUAUAUAGAAACAAAAGGAGCUAAAAGUGGAAAAUAUUCCUUUUCAUAAUUAUCAUAUCCUAAUCUCCCCUUUUUUAAUCAUUACUUAUCACCAAAUUUAAUUUCUUCAACAUUUUAUUGCUCGUUCUAAAUUGUUUUGUUGUUUUUUUUAUUUUGUACUUAUAUUAUUCACCAAUAAAACAUUUAUUUCAAAAAAUAUAUAUAAUAAAGAAGUUUACAUUUUUAAAACCUUGAUUUUUAUAUAUUUUUUUAAUUUUAAUUAACUUUGAACAAGAAAAAGUAGAAACUAAUAUUUAAUUAAAAUUUCGUAUUGUUAGAAUAAGAUACUCUAUGAAAAUAUUAAAUAUAAGGGAUAAUGUGGUCUAUUAAUGGCACAAAAGUGUCAUCUACUGGUCUUAAAUGGAGUUGAGUGACUUGAAUUUGAGUUAGAAUAACAAAUGAAGGAUGUUUGGAGGUUGUUUGCUAUUAGUCUAUGGUCAAUUUUGAAUUCUAUUUUUUUAUUACAAGAAAAAAUGAGCAUAUCCUACCUGUUUUUCAAGUUCAGAAUAUAAUAUUUAAAGAUUAUCUAGCCAUGGAUAAAUUAAAGUUUUCUAUAAAAAAUUACGUCAGUUUUAAUUAUAGUGCUUUUUAGAUAUUUAUUUGCAUUUUAUAGAGUAAAAAACAAGUUAUUGGUAUUCAUAGUCUAGAAUUCAGCUAAAUUCAAUUAUUAUGUCUCAUUUAUGUUAUUUUGCUUUUUUCUAAAUUAUUGGAAUAAUUUAUUUAUUGUUAUUGAAAUAAGAGUUCUUUUAGUUGAUACUAGUUACAUGCCCCGCGCGAUGCCGCGGGUCAAUUAUUUUUUGAAUUUCAAAAAUAGUUAAGAUCUAAAAGUGUUAGGUUUUUUUGUAAAGUUAUACCCAAGAGUCUCAGUUUUGGUUGCAUCGUCUAAUCAAAGAGUAAUGUUUAUAAUAUUAAUAAUAACAUUAAACUUGGGUUAACCCUUAGCAUAAAAGUGUCUGGACUACAAUACCAGAUCCAAUAGCAUUGAACGCGGGUCUGGCUGCAAGGUCGUGUCAUAAAAGUGUGAUAAUUAAAUAGAUUAGUUAAAAAAAACCAACAGAAAAAAAAAACUAAUUAGAAAAAAGAAAAAAAAUAUGAAUUAAUUGGGUUAACCCUUCAAACCAGGUUAACCCGUCAUACCUUGAAUUUACAUAAUAAAAGUUUGAUAAUUAAAAGAAAAAAACAAAUUAAUGGGUUAACCCAGAAUUAACUAGGCUAAAUCGUCAAACCAGAUUAACCUGUCAAACCCAGAAUCCGUGUAAUGAAAGUUUGAUAACUAAAUAGAAAAAAAUUAACAUUAACAAUUUAAAUUAAAUGAAAAAAAUUCAUUUAAAAAAAAAAAACAAAAAGCAUCAGCCUUUUCACAGUGAACUGCACUGUGCAGUCCACAUUCAAAGGCAUAAAAACAAAAAAAAACAAAAAAAAAAAACAAAAACUAAAGGCAUCAGCCGAAAACUACUUAGAAAAAAAUUUAAUAUUAAUAAACUAAAUUAAUUAAAUAAAAUUAAUUAAAACGAAAAAAUAAAAGAAAAAAACCUCUAAGAAGAAAAACAAAACUAAAUAUAAAGAAAUUUAACAUUAACAAACUAAAUUAAACAAAAAAAAUUAUUAAAAAAAAAAAAGCAAAAAAAAUUCCAGGUUAACUUGUCAAACCAAGUUAACCCGUUAAACUCGGGAUCCGUGUCAUGAAUGUCUGGUAACUAAAUAAAAAAAAAGUGAACAUUAACAAACUAAACUAAAUAAAUAAAAAAAAAUAAUUAAAAAGAAAAAAAAAAUCUGGGUUAACUCGUCAAACCAUGCUAACCCGUUAAACCCCGGAUCUGUGUCAUGAAAGUCUGAUAACUAAAUAAAAAAAAUUUAACAUUAACAAACUAAAUUAAACAAAAAACAUUUAUGAAAAUAAUAAUAAUAAAAAAUGACGGGUCAACCCGGAAUUAACUGAGUUCACCCGUGAAAGUCUAAUAACUAAAAAGAAAGAAAUUUAACAUUAACAAACUAAACUAAACGAAAAAAUUAAUUAAAAAGAAUAAAAAGCAAAAAAAUAAUUCUAUUUUAACUUGUCAAACCAAGCUAACCCGUUAAAUCCGGUAAACGUGUCAUGAAAAUCUGACAACUAAAUAAAAAAAUUAAACAUUAAUAAACUAAAUUAAACAAAACAAUUUUGUUAAAAAGAAAAAAACAAGGGAAGAAGCAAAAAAAAUCCCAAAAACACAUAUAAAAAAAAACUAGAAAAACUAAGACAACUUAAUUAAUUAAACAAACCAAGUUAUCCCGUCAAACCUGAGAUUCGCGUUAUGAAAGUUUGAUAACUGCAUAGAAAAAAAAAAUUGAUGGGCUCACCCAUAAUUAAUUAAACAAAAAAAUUAAUUAAAAAGAAAAACCAUAAAAAAAAAAAUCUGGGUUAACCCGUUAAACCCAGAAUGCGUGUUAUAAAAGUUUGAGAUAUAAAAAAAUUCAACAUUAACAAAAAAAAUUUUAAAAAAAUAUCCAUUAAAAAAAACAAAGAAAAAAUAAAGAAAAAAAAACGAAAAAAAAAAUGUCAGCUCAGCUUUUACUGUAGACUGUACUGUGCAGUCCACAGUAAAAGCGUGAGUCCUUUUCGUUAUAGUUUAAUUAAUUAAUAUAUGAGUUUUAUCACAUCUUGAUGUCGGCUGAGAUCGACCUUGCAAGGUGAUUGUGGUUGUCUAGGGAUUUGUGCCCAUGAAUUCCUCCAUUUACGUUCUUCUUCCUUGCAUUUCUUCCCCCAAAUUAUUUCUUCUUCUUCCUUGAUUACUCGCAAUUGUGUCCAAUGAUCUUCAUAAGUAGAAAAUGCAAUAUUUUUAGAUAUGAUAUCUAGGUUAACAUAUUUAUGCCAUGAUCCUUGUCAUCUUAACUGUCUCCUUCGCUGCUGAGACCUUCUACUUGUCUUGAGACUCUCAAUCUUUUUUUUUUCUUUUUUUUUUAUAGGAAUAAAACAGGACUAUGAUCAUGAGAUUCCAGUUUGAUUGGGGGCUGAUUUAAUGGUGAAAACCAACGCUAAAGAUGGCUUGGGAAAGACUAGAAAUCAGCAUGUUUUUUCUUUAAACAACGUUUGUUUUUCCAUCUACCUCAUAGUAAUUGGUUUUUACGACAGUCAACAAUGUAAAGUCUUUGACGGAUCUCAGAUUUAAUAAUUUUAUCAAUAUAAAUUUUUGUCUAUACUUACACUAGUUCAUUUGUGAUUUUUUAAUGGAAAUUAUUUUACCAACAGAAACAUGGAUAAAAAUUAUUAAUCAAAAAAUGUUUGUUGGUGAUUUCUGGUCUUUUGAUAAGUUCAUCGUUAAAAAAAAUUACCAACUUCAUUUUGUUGGUAAUUUCCUCGAUACUAUUUAGUAUAUUACUGAUAGGAGAACCGUAUGUUAUUUCGCCAGUGAGUUAAUAGUUACAGUAAUAUUUUCCAGCUCUAUGGAAUAUACUAACGGACUAAUUCCAUCAGUAAAUUAAUAGUAGCAUUGAUAUUUGUUGUAAUUCCUUUUCAACUCUCUAGAAUUACCAACGGAAUAAGUCUGUUGGUAACCGUCAGUAAUAAUUUUAAAAUAAUUUUAAAAAAAAUCUAUUAAAUAGAAAUAGAAAAUAAUUAAAAUAAUUAAAUUAUUAGAAAAUUCAAAUAUUUAAAAAUAAAUUAUUUUAAUAUUGAAAUCAAAUAUUUAUUACAAAUUUAAAUAUUUUUACGUUCAGACACAAUAAAAGUAUAAUAGAGGCAACAUUGAAGAAGGACGAGGAGGCUGGUCAUCCUCGAGAUCGUAGGGUCAAUAAAGGAUGCACAUGUAUCACUCAUCCGUGAUCUCAUAUCCAUUACCACUAGGUGAAGUUUUUCAUAAUCUGCAAAGAGUUAUUCAUUUUUUUAAUUGAGAAAGGUCAUACGUUCUUAUACUCCUUGAUCUAAUAAGGCCAUGAACUCUGAAAAUUGAGUACUCGGAAUCGAUUACGAGGAUCCAACAUACAAGUCAUCAGCAAGUUCUCAAUCGUAAUGUUAAAAAAUCCAUACACCUGAUUUCUAUUAGUCCACUAAACGAUCUUAUCUCUAACCACAAAUCCGAAUUGAUGUCUAGGUGGGUCAUAGGAUCAUUUUAGUAUCUCUUCUUCAACCGGUUGUUAUAUGACUCUUAGAAAUAUAAUAUAAAUUCAUCAAAUUUAAGUAAAUAAUAACUUAAGAAAAAAAAAUGGUUGAACACCAAUAUACCACAAAGUAUUGAGCUUAGCUAUCCAUAAAUUGAUGCACCCAUUUUUUACUGUCAUCACUUCGCACGUGCAUUUCCACAAAAAAACUUCAUUGGGCUUAGCUCAUAUCCAAGAAUCAUUAUCUGUAAGAUAUAAAUAUUGUCAGUUAAAUAUAUUUAUAAAAAACAACAAACUUAAAAAAUAGAUGUAAUUAAAAAAAAUAUUAUCAUCCAUUUUGCAUGCAAAACGAAUGGAAUAGAGUCGCCAGUGUGCAUGGUAAUGAAACCAUGAAUUUUAUGGCUUUGGUUCCCUAUAUUGGACUGUGACCAUUGCAUGAAAAGCGCAUACGUCAUGUGUUGAAUGUAUUAUGCCCAUAUAGUCUACAAGAUGUAUGACGAUUUGAAAUUCUUUCAAACCACCAUGUCAUUCCAGCCUAGUAGAUUGCUUUCUUUCGUAUAUUUUUUGAAUUUUUUUUAACCUUGUAAAAAAAAUCACACAACCUAUAUAGUAUAAACAAAUUAUCUAUAAGUAAAUGAAAAAUAAAAUUUUAAUACUUGGAAUAAAAAAAUUAUCAUGAUUUUGAUGUUACCUAGUUACAGUGUGAUUCUCUCAAUCCUUCAUCACAACAUUAUCAUUAGCUCUAUUCCACUCAAAUUUCCCUUUGCAGUAAAAAAUUAUAAAAAUAAAAUUUUUAGUAAUUUUAAUAAAGUAAACAAAUUAACAUAAUAAAAAAUUAAGUUAAUAAUAACCUUAAACCUUAAAAAUCAUGUGUCCAUGUAUAAUUUUUAUUAAGGAUGUUUGGAAACCUAGCUCCAUUGAAACAAAAAAUUUUCAUCGACGAUUUAAAUAUCGAUGUUAUCGUUCAGGCAACCUCAAAUGUUUGUAAAUUUCAAAUUGGAUAAAUUUAAUAAAAUAUUUUUUUCAAAAAUUAUUAAACAUGUCAUUAUAAAAGCAAAACAAACUUAUAUUAAAAGGUUGCUGCGGGUGAAUGGAUCCCGCUGUGAAGGGACCCCCCUCUACAUUAUGGUAUUGCACUCGAUGAGGUAGCAUUGUGAGUUGAUGUUUGUGCCUUAGAUGACUCUUCUUGGUUAGCACCUAAUAAGUCAUGAUUGUCAUUAUCGUUGCUAGAAGAAUUAACAGUGAUCUUGUCUUCACGAUGUGCAAUUAAUUUUUUCCUAGGCAUCUACAUAAAUUUACAGGAAAAAAAAUAUACAAUUUUGAUUUAAAAGAAAAACAUUCAACAACACCUCUCCUAUACGGGAAGCCAAACAAUUUAAUCUUGCAAAUAGACAAUAAAUGCCUUCAAUUUCUACCAAUAAUUUUGAAUAAUUCAAUUUCAUAGAAAAUUCUCAUUUUCUAAGUUAUAUUAUUGUUAAUCCUAAAUUUAAAAGAAUUUAUUUUAAAUGGAAUACAUACAAUAUAAUAAAAUUAAUUAAUCCUACACAUUUAAUUAAAUAUUAACAACAAAAUUAAACAAAGAAAAUAACUAAAAUUCAACAAAAUAAUGAAAACAUUAUUGGUUUAACUCAAGGUUAUUCAAUCUAUUUUAAUACUUCUCUUAAUUCAUUAUCAAUUAUCUACAUAAAUUUAAAUUUAUACACAUUUACUGGAAAUUACAAACUUGGUAAUAAAAUUGAUAAAAUAUAAAAUGGACCCAUUAAAUAAGCCAUUAUGUUUUUUUACCACAAAACAUCUAGGUUGAUAAUUCGAUAUAAGUUUCGUCAAUUUACAAAUAAAUAAAAUUUUAUAAAAUUUAAAAACAAAUCCUAACAUGUACAAAUUAUAAAUCCAUACAGCAAAUUUGUUUAAGAAAAAACUAUAAAACUAGUAAACACUCAAACAAAAUACAUAUACUACAAAAAAUAUGAAAAAAAAAUUAUCAUUUGAAAAUUGUGUUCAAAUAAUAAUAAUAAAAAGAUAGAUUUGCUUACUUAAAGUGGAGAAUCCUCAAUAACAUUUGAAUCAGAACACGAAUGCUGACAAAUCUAGUAUUACGGUAGCUGAAUUUGUUGUGGGAGGUUGGAUUGUGUUGAGAUUGGGGGGGGGGGAGGGUGGUUAUUUGUUGCAAAAUAAAAUGCACAAGGAAGAAGUAAAAAUGGGGGAGGGGGAGAGAAGGUCCAGCGCUAGGUCAAAAAUUAAAUAUUAUUGACAAAUUGAUCGAUAUAAUUAUUCUGAUGGUAAACUCCAUCGAUAAUUUUUAUCAAAGAAAUGUCACACCACCAUACGAUUUGUCUUCUUGAAUCUCACUAUAAUAUCCUUCGUAAUGUCGUUUGAUAUAUACCGAUGAAAAUUUUUCAUUGGCAUAUUCAGGGAUGGAUUUUACCAUCGGGUUAAUUAUGUCGGUAAUGUCAUUUGUAAAACUUAUAUAUCAUCGUGUUGUUUGGCUUUUUUUAUUCCUUUUUUAUCUACUACAAUUUCCUUAGUAUAUACCGUGAAAAUAUUUCUAUCAAUGUUUAUCGACGGAUUUAGCAAUGAAAAAUUCAUUUGGUAAAUGUUACCGUAGUAUACCAAUGGAAAAAUUUCACCGAUGUUUCUAUUUAUAUUUGUCAAUUUUUUUUAUAGAUGGAAACUAUGUGCAACGAACAAUGAGGGAUCACAAUGGAGGAAACUAAUUUUUUAGUAAGAUCAAAUAAGCGUGGCGUGAUGGCAAAGGUCUUGAGAUCUGCACAGCAGGUCUCGAGUUCGAGUCAGGACAUGUAUUUUUUAUAAGAGUCUUGGACAGUCAGGGUUUUACUUGCUCACCUGGGCCCACAAAGUACUUUUUUGGAAGGUGAGGUUUCCUCGGAUCCAAAAAAAAAAGGAGAAGAACAAGGUGCCGAUGAUCGAUGGAAGGCGAAAUGAAAAAGGGAGACUCAUUGUUGGGUUCUACUUUUUUGGAACAACAAUUAAUGGAAAUAGCCACCUGGAACACUGAGUGUCCGAGGAAGAGGAAAGUGGGAAGGAAGACUGCCCGGUCAUAAAACUAUCAACGGAGGAAAAAAAAUGUAUAAGGGCACCUUGGCGUCAAACAUUCAUCGUGAAAGUUAUGGGUAGACGAGUAGGCUACAUUUAUCUUUUGCGACGUAUUCGACGAAUAACCUAAAUGGCUGCAUCUGAUAUGCUUCCGGCGUGGUCAAUAUGGGCACGAAAGAGAGAACUGCUCUUCUGGUGAAAAGCAUGAGGAGACCAGUAACGAUAGACAACGAUAUAUUUGUGAGUCUUUAACAAAACUAAGGUAUUUGUUUAAAGUAAAUAUAUAGAUUUCUUAUUGAACUUAUCAAUGAUGGGGUAAUGAUUCUCUCAAAGUCGAAGAUCAUAAUAUCAUUUUGAUAUUGUAUGAUCUUUAGUUUUAUUGAGAACACAGCAACUCUUUUGAACAAUCUCACUCGACAACAAAGAAAUGUCUAAACUUAUACCUCUCACAUUUGCAAUGAGAAGGGACAUAUCUGAAAGCUAAAACAUUAACAAGGAUCAAAUAAAAUAGUCCUAAGAAAGUAAAGGGGGUAUGAAAAGCUUUCGAAAACUUUGAGGUGCCAUUGUCUCUCCUAUAUACUCGAUACGAUGACACCACGCACAAAAUUGAUGUAGAAUCUCGAUCCCUUGAAAAGAAAGGAGAAUUGCAUGGAUGUUUGAAUGAGGUUUUAGCCUGUAUUCUUGUUUAUUUUGAAAAUGAUACUUUGUAAACAGCACUUCGUUAUGAAUCACAAUAGAUACAAUUGGCAAGAAAAGCUAAGGCAUUGGACAAAGUUUACAGCCUACCUCUAACAAAAAUUGCAGUUCUCUAGCAAUAGUAUGAAUAACACCAAAAGAUGCAAAACAGCUCCACAUCCUCCCCAAAAUUCUGCAGUGAACAAUAACACCAAAAUUCAUAAAUGAGGAAACAAAGGGAUUUUGUGACCAAGAUAGGAGGUUUCAGAAGUGACCAUGGAAACGUUGGAUAUCUUUUUUAAUCAUAAUACGUGUGUGCGCUAGAGGGGGAGUGCAUGGAAGGUGGGCUCGUGCCCUGUAUCAAGAGGAGGGCUUCUUAUUUGAGACAAUACAAAGGAAAACCAUGGAAUGCUCAAUCAGCUCUGAGAAAUGCCAUUCAAAAUCAGCAUUUUAUAAAUUGGUUACGAACUAAAAGUUAAAUAGCAUCUAAUAAAAUACCUGCAAGUGAAAGACACAAUGAAACGACAGGGAAAUAAUUUGUAUGGUGAAAGUUUAUUAGGAGGCACAAUGGUUACAUAAAAGAAACAGGAACUCUAGCUUUCGAUAUUUUAUAUAAUGGCACAGGUGUUGUUGAUGUAUAGUUUAUGUGUAGAUGCAUUUAAAGAAACACUCAUUAACCAUGCUCAGUUGAGGGACAAAAUGCAAAUACAAACUGGUGUCAGUUUGAUAAUAUAAACUUCCACAAAGCAUUGGGUAAACUAACAAUUUUGUGCAUGCAAUUGCUUAUUCAUGUGUUGUAACUGAUGUUUAUCUGAUUUUAAGAGACUAACAUGCCUUUAGAGUUUGCCAUGGCAAAAGAAUUUCGCUAUAAAUUAACUAAAUUUAGCUGUAGUUUACUUCAGUACAUUUCUUGCACUAAUAAUUGUUGAAGAUGUGCUAUAAAGUGUUUAUAGCUCGAAGAAAAAUUAGAGGGGCCACAUGUGCUUAAAUCCAUUGUCUAAAAUCAUUUCAAAUGAUAAAGAUUACAUAUGCCUGUUUAUGUGCAACUUGCUGUACCAUUAUGUACUUUGUUUUCACAGUAUAAAAAGGGUUGGAUAUGAUAUGCCCAAACAUUUGCAUUUAAUUAUUCAACAUCAUAAUGGUAUUAUUCUUCGCUAAGAGCAUGUGAAGAUCAGCCAUAACACACAUAUACUAUAAGUGGUGGUAAUCUAAGAAACAAAAGCAAGGUAUUUAAGAGCUGUUUCGGAUUAAUACAUGCAACUUCCAGUUCAAGACCAAAAAAGGUUCACUUGAAUUAGUCUGUAGCCUUGUGAACUUCAUCCACAAAGAGAACUGUGCUAAGAAAAGACUGUACUGCGUCCUUUACUUCUUUACAUCAAAAGAAGCAAAUUAAUCUUAAUAUCAAAUCAUACAUGGAUAAAUCCAAGAUUAAUUAAUAUAUAAUCAACUCAAUAUGAAAAGAUGAAUAUCUACAAAGCAUUGAGUAAUUUACAAGUCAGUGCAUCCAAGUGCUAAUUAAUUGCUUUUACCAAAGUACAUUUCUCGCACUAAAAUAUUCAAGGAUGCAUAUGUACAUAAAACUAGUGGUUCUACAAGUGCUUAAUCCACUGUCUAAAAUUAUUUUCAAUGUUAAAGAUACCCUUUGUUUGUCUGGUGAGACUUUUUGCCUCGAGUUUUACUUCCCAAAUAAGAAAGAGACUAGCAAAAUUAUGUUCCCAUUUUCAUUUAACUAUUGAGAUCACAUUUAACAAGUCAGUCUAAGUCUCACCUGUAUCUAACCCCCACUUGCUUAGUUCCAUCCAUAAAGAGAACUGAGUUAAGAAAAGCUCAUGGUAUGCUCUGAGAGAAAACAGCUGUCUAGCAAAACCAUGAAUGGGCUAGUGUAUUUCUUCUACAGAGUCAAACCACUUCUGCAAAUCUACAUGAAGCUUCAAACAUAUCAUAAGGUUACAGAAUAACUCUGAUAAUGGCCUGCAAGAAUGCUUGAUGGAAUCAUUUUACUUGUUAGCCUAAUCAACAUACGCUGUUAUGGCCUGAAAUGACAAAGGAGUCAGUGCAAGGCAUUUGAAGUUCAAAUUGGUAACUGCAGUCAAUUCCAAGAUUCCAAUAAGAGCCCAAAUAUUUCGUCUACUGCAUAUCUUUUAAUAUGUUCUUUGACAUUAGGCGCCUCUCAAGCACAUGAUUCCAGAAGAGACUUAAGAUGCUGCUGUCACUGGCAUAAGAAGCAUUAAAAGAUCUAUAAAUUUUGAUAGUGAUCAUCAGCCUUUUCUUGUACAUUUCAUCUAAUAUAUCUGAAGUAACAUUGACUUUUCCAACUUUCCAGUAACCAUACGCCAAACUUGUGUAGACGACACUAUCUCCAAAUAUACCCUUAUCUUUCAUAAGACCAAGUACUCUUUGAGCACAAUCAAUCUUUUCUAUUUUACAAAACCUCCUUAUUAGCGCCCUGUACACUGAUACAUCAACACACAAACCUCUUCUCACCAACUCAUCUGGAAGUUUGAUGACUGCCUCUUCAUUUUGUUGCUUGCAAUAACUAUCUACAAGCCAUGAGUAGGUGCAAUAACUAGGAGAAAAUCCUGCAUCCAUCAUACCAAACAAGAGCUCUUUAGCCUUAUCAAUCUCUUUUGCCUUGCAGAAUCCAUGGAUCAAUGCCUUGUAAGUAAACUGGUCUAGCUUUAACCCGGCCCCCACCAUCUUGUCCUUCACUUUUAAAGCAGAUCGCAUAUCACCUAUCUUGCAGUAGGCAUUAAUCAACGUGUUACAGGUGACAUUAUCUGGUUCAAUUUUCCUCUCACUCAUCUCAUUCAACAGUAUAUUUGCAUCUCUUAACCUGCCUCCCUCACACAACUUGCGCAGAAUUGAAUUGUACGUAAUAACAUUUGGAUACAGCCCCUUUUCCGACAUCACCUCCUUCAAUCUCAAAGCUUCAUCAAGGUCAUUUACUCUACAAUAGCCAUCAAUCAAACUAGUAUAAGUCACAUGGUUAGGAGUAACAUCCUUGAUAUCCCUAAAAAGCUGCACAGCCUCUCUCAUUCUACCUUCUCUACAAAACCCAUAAAUAAGUGAAUUGUAAGUAACAAUGUCAGGACUAAUUUCAGCCAUUUCCAUCCGAUCUUGAGCACAUAAGGCUUCAUAAUGCAUUCCCUUUUUACAGUACAACGAAAUUAACGUAUUGUACGUGAAAAGAUCCGGAAAAACACACUUCAAUUCCAUUUCACUCAAAACCUUCUCUGCCUUCUCCACAUCCCCAGACUUACAACAAGCAUGAAGCAACACAUUAUACACAUGAAUAUUAGAUACAACCCCUAGUUUAACCAUCUUCUUAUAAAUUUUCCACACUGUAUCCGUCAACCUGUCCUUAGCCAACGAAUUCAAUAGCACAGUACAAGCAUGUAAAUGGGGCCUAAACCCAUUCACUCUCAUGUGCUCAAAAACCUGAAUAGCCUCGUGGGUCAUCUUGGAAUUCCCAUAAACUAUCACAAGCCAACUCAAAACAUGAGAAUUCACAUCUGGGUCAUCAUGAAUUUUCACCAAUGAACUCAAAACAGAUUGAGUUGACAAGAAGUCCUUGAAAGCAAUAUUUUCAAGAAAAGCAUGAGCAGUCUUGAAAUGCUUAUGCUUUGUCAAAAUAUAAAGCAUAGUCCAUGAAGAUUGUAAUGAGUGUUUAUAGUUAGGAACAGAAGAUUCAAUCCAUUUAAAUAAAGCCCAUGAAAGACAAGGACUUUGGUCAUAAAAAGAUAGUUGCAAAAGUACCUGACGAACUGUUGCUGUUGUUGUAAUGAGAUGGUAAUCGUUAGAGCCAAAUUUGGGUCUCAAAAGAUUGUUCCAGCUACCCUUUAUCACGGAUGCACAAAUACUUUGAAUAAGCAACUGGGUUUCAUUGCUUAUAGGAGUCAAAGUUGCCAUUUUUAUGGGGUUUUCUAACUCACUCUGACAAUCUGCGAAGUGUUUUGAUUUUCUGGUUCUGUAUAGAAAAAACCGAGGGGAAAGAAAGCUGUUCGCUGUGCUCUUGGAGUGGGGGAUAAUUAUGAAUAAUAUUUUAGGAAGUGGCUAUGAUAUUUCUAUGUGACAUAAAUAAGGAAACGAAUUUUAUAAGUUGUUUCAAUUAGGUUCUAAAUUUUGGAAGUUUUGUUCAAAAUUCCCUUUUAUUUUAGUACCUUUGACUUCGUAGGGUUGAGUAAAAUAAUCGAGUAAUUGAAUUAAUAAAAGUUUUUUUUAUAUAACAUUGAAUAAAAAAUUCAAUUAGAUUUCUUUAUUAAAAAAAAAGGAUUCUAUAUCCUUUUGAAAAUGUGAUUGGUGUGAUUGGUGUUGAUUUUUAAAAUAUUUUUCAUUUGAAAAAUGCAUUAAAAUGAUAUUUUUUAAAAAAAAUAUAUCUAAAAAUAUUAAUAUGAAGUAAAGAAAAAAAAUAAAAAAUAAAAAAUAAUUUUUUAAAAAAACACUUUUAAAACACACAAAAAAAAAAAAACAGAACCGAACUAUUUUUUUAAAAAAAAUAAAACAAAAAAAGAAAAAAAAAUCCAAACUCAUUACAUCAAAACCUCUAAAUAAAAACCAAUAAAAAAACCUCAUGGACUAAUUUGUUUUUUUUAAUAGAAAAUCAAUGAAUUAAAUCAGUUUUUCAAUAUAAAAUAAAAUAAAAAAUAAUCUUAGGCUUAUUACAUUAAAACCUCUGAAAACCUAAUUAAAAGACAAGUGGACUAAUAUAUUUUCUUAAAUAAAAAACAAAUCAAGAUAACAAACCAAAUUUAACCAUUUGGUUUGAAUUAAUUUUUUUUGGUUCGGUUCAAUUUAAUAGUUUUUUUAAAUAAUAGCUAGGGACUAAAUUAACUAUUAAUUGAAACAUGAGGGGCUAUCUUUCCACCAUUACAGAGGGAUGUAAAUAAAUUGGUGGCACCCUGGUUUUCGCGUUCUUCUCGAGUAGCGACGCUCUAAGAGAAAGCGGGAGAGAGAGAUGGGGAGCUUGAAAGAAAAAGUAGACAAGAAGCAGAAGAAGAAAAAGAACAAGAAGGCUAACGAUAGCGACUUCAGUGAAAAGGGUAUCUCUUGGUUAAAACUUCCCUGCUUUUAAUAGCUCACCUGCCUCACCAUCUUUCAAGUUCUUACUUUUUUUAAUUUCUACUUGAUUCUAACUUGUGGGUCUUGCUGUGGAAAAUCUUUUAUGUUAUUUUUUUUUGUUUUUUUAAUUGAUGCAUGUAGUAAGGAAUGAGGUUUUAUUAUGAACGAUUGGUUUUGAGAGAGGAAGUUUUAGUCUUUAAUGGAGAUUAGAAAUAUCAGGUUUUUAGGUAUCCUCUUAACGAGGACGACUACAGGAUGGUGUUUCCAGAAAGAGAAUUAGGCAAUGCUAUUGCUUCUCAUAAGUUUUUUUUGCUACUAAACAAUCAGCUGUGAAAUUCUGGCAUAGUAACAACACACACAAAAAUGGGUAGUUCAAGUAGUUUUAAAAACAUCUGUAACGUUUGUUAAUUUGCCGGUUCUUUGGCUUUGUUGUCAUUAUUGAAUUUUUGGUUAAAGAUGGAGCUGUAAUCGAUAGAGAUUCCCAAGUUCAAACUAGUUUCUGCAAGCUCCUUUUUUUUCUUUGUAUCCAAGGAUUUAGAAUUUCACAAAUAAAUUUAUGGGAGUUAAGAAGUCAAUGUGUGUGUCUUUUUUUCUUUUGUUGGUGGUGAAUGAGGUGAUUCUCCUAGAGUGGUAAAAACUGUAGCAGUGGGAGAAGUAUAGGUCCAUAACUAGGUAAUGAGUAGAAUUUUUAGUGUUUUGCAGUAUGUGUUAGGUUCUUUGCUCAGCAUGGUUUAUCAGUAGAUAUUCCACUGUCCCUUACUUCCAUUCGAUGCUUCAACCAAGGAUUACAUGCUUUGACUGAAGGAGAACUACUGUGCUAAAUGGGUAAAACAGCCAGUGAUCUAUUUUUCACCAUAAUCUGGUUGUCAAUUAAACUUUUGAUAUUCCUGUUACAUUACUUGUAUGGAAUACCUGGUUUUUCUUGAAGAAUGAAAAAUGGCUGCUGGUUUUUCAAAUGAUUAAGGGACAAAAGAAGCCCUUUAAAUCCAAGAAUAUCAUUGCAGCUUCUUUUCUUACAAUAGUGGUUUUAUAGAAUGAAUUAAACUUCGCAAAGUGUAGUGUUUGAGUAAGGGACAUAUAAGAUAAUUACAUAAUCACUCUACUUAAGGGACUGUUUAGGGUUGUUGCGGCAAACCAGCCAGUUGGCACCAUGGCACUCCUAGACAGGGACUGAAUCAUUUCACUUCAGAGAUAUAAAAUGGUAGACUUCUAAUCAUCAGUUUAGGUUCAGAUAAGUAGUAUGAAAUUAAUGAAGAAUUCUUGGUUUUGGCCAUGGUUAUCUACUCACUUGUCAUGUAUAGAUUAUGCCAAAUUUCUGCUAUAUUUGAAACUAUAAAUACUGAAAUUAAUUGCUGGUGGCAGUGCCUGAUCAUUUUUUAUUUCAGAUGUAAUGAUAAAAACAGAGGAUGGAAGGAAUAAAGUGAACAAGUCUGCCGAGAAGAAGAAGAAGAGGGAAAGGGAAAAGGAAAAUAAUAUUGAUGGUGGUGAUACUAUUUGGCUCAGUAAAGGUUUAAAAGUUUUUAGACAUAGCAAACUUUUUUCCUAUCUAGAUUUCUAUUAAUCUUUGUCUCAUUCACUUGUUUUUGUUGUUUCAGAAGAUGAUGAGACUAAAGCAGAAGGGGAAAAGAAAAGGAACAAACUAAGAAAAAAUACAAAAAGAAGUGGGGAGCAAAAUAAUGCUGUGGUUGGGAAAUCUGAUCAGCUUGGUGCUGAGUCUGAAGAUGGUUUUAAUCAACUAAAAGGUAAGUCAAUAGGAUUUUCGCUUGGUGAAAUAUGUGUUGACAUACUAUAUCUCUUGACAUUAUGUAACUAAGAUAGUGUUAUUUUUUUUAUCCGUAUUGUCUAGACAGAUUACAUCAGUGCAUACUUGGGUGCUUUGACUCAAUCUCAUAAUUGAUAAAUGCUAUAUUUGGAAAAAUGGGAGUUGUGUGAUUUCGUUAACAAUGUCCUUUUGUCUAAAACUCUCGUUGCAUAUGCACUCCAAAGUGCUUCCACGUUUUGUUUUCUCUCUUUUUUCGUUUUGCUGUGUUUCUUUCUCUUGAACUUGAUAUCACUCUAAUCCACAUUAAGCAAUAAAGUAAUGAAUGUCCGUUUUGUUUUCAUACUAUACUCUUUGUUUGUCAUGCUAUUGUUUUCUGCCUUACAACUUGAUUGAGCUAAGGGGUGAUAUUAAAAAUCCAAAGGGCAAAGUGAAGAUGUUAUUGGAAGAUGAGACAGAUGACAGAAUUUCUUUGUUGGGUUAUGCAGAAUUUCUCUUGAAAACAUUACAUUGCUUUCUUAGUGUGUUGUCUCAUGGUGUACUUCUCAUUCUUCAGGUAAAUCCAAGAAAUCUAAGAAAAAGAAAAGGGAGCAUGACACAUCAAAGGAGGAUGAGAAUAUGCUGGAAAAGAGGGGAGAGACCAAUCAGGAUGAGGCUUGUUGUAUUUCUUCUGGGGAUGAGGACUCCUCAAAAGGAAUGAAAAGUAUGUAUGAAUCAUAUCAUGUGCUAUGUUUUAGCCCUUCAAUUUCAUAAAUCAUAUUAACUAGUAAAAAUCUCUACUAAUCAAAUAAAACUAAAUGGUCAAAUAUUCUCCUUGAAGUUUUGUUUUGUAAUGUACACCAUUGGAUGGCCAUAAUUAGAAGUAGUGUAUCGUAGUAAAACUGUACACCCUUUUUAUUCUGUGUUGAUUGUGUAGCAUUUAAGCAUCCAUUUCUAUUUCAUGGCUCUCCUGGAACAUGACAUUAAGGAUUUGCAUGUCAUGAAUGGGGCAAGGGUAUUAGCUAAAAUUUUCUCUAUUCAAUUGUCUGACUGAUUUCACCAUGCACAAUAUUAGUUUAAUUUCUGAAUGUUGAUUUUAUAUAUAUGAAUGAUGCUUCAUUAUUUAGGUUCCUGACUGUAAACUUGCAUUACAGAGUGGCUUACAGAAUAUCAUCAAAGUAGACCAGGCCUGACGGUGCUGCAACAAAGAUUAGAUGAGUUCUUAAUUGCCCAUGAGGAAAAACUUGAACAGGUAUUGUCUCUCAUGCACCUCUGAGACUGGAUCAUAAUGCGGUGGACCCUUUUCAUAUUUGUUUCUCAGCACUUCUAUUGUUUCUCUAAAGUGAUCAGACCUGCGCAUGCAUUGUCUGGCUCAAAAUUGAACACUUCGCUUUGAGUUUGUACAGAAACAUGCUUGCAGGAAAAGCAUGUUUUUCACAGUUAUCUUUUGACAAAGGUAGAUGAGUGAUAUAGCCGAAACAUUGGAAGAAUUUGUAAAGUAAAUGUUUUGCUAUAGUGCUCUGCAUAUUUCAGCAUUCAGUUUAUGCCAUCCUGUCUCUUCUCUCAUUUUCUGCUCACUUCAAUUGAAAAUUAAUUUGUAUGUUUCUAUUGGCGAAUUAUGUGGUCAAUGUGUUCUUUUGUCAUGGUAGAUUUAGGCUUCCAUCAUGUCUUGUGGUCUUUCUUCCUCGUGCACAGUUUCUCAUUUGUCUUGAUAUGGCAUGUACAGGAAAGAAAAGAAAGAGAAGCCCAAGCUGCAGAAGGGGGAUGGACAGUUGUUAAACAUCACAAAGGAAGGAAAAAGACAACAGAUUCUGAAAGUGGAAUUACCGUGGGCUCUGUUGCUCCAGCUGCUGUGGAGAAUCAGAUGACCAAGAAAAAGCCCAAGGAAGUUGGGCUAGAAUUCUAUCGGUUUCAGAAAAGAGAAGCUCAGAGGAGUGGUAUGAUGAAUCUUAGCAAAUUAGUGUACUGUUUGUUUGUGCAAUAUGCUAUACUAACUAGUUACAGUAACUAUGAGGAGAUACCUGAUGUAUAAUAAGCAUUUAAAGAUCCACAUACACUUGUUUGGAGCAUAAAAGAUGGUAUUUUUCUCUUCAUCUAAGAAACAACUGCUCGUGCUGUUGCUUCUUGAUGAAUUUGGGAUGAGUUGAGUUUUACAUGAAAAAUAUUUUCAGAUCAAACAUGCAUCCUUAUCAUUUCAUUGAUUGUUGUGAAGCAAGGUAUUGAUCGUUAAAUAUCCUUGCAGAAAUUAUGGCACUUCGAAGCAAAUUUGAGGAGGACAGAAAGCGGAUUCAACAAUUGAGAGCUGCUAGGAAGUUUCGACCUUACUGAGUGCUGCAGAGGCCAUGCAGAUCGAUACAAACCGGAAUGUGAAGCAUCUAGGGGUUUAAUUCUAAGCGCCUAAAACUUUUGCAUCUGUUAAAUUAAUUAGAGAUCAUUAUCUGCAUUCUUGAGGUAUCAUAACUCUCUACGACAAUGAGCAAUUUUCAGGUGAUCAACUGAAAUGUCAAAUUUUACAAUGUUGCUGAAGCAACCUUUUUCAUGUUAUAUGAUACUUUCUUCUUGUAAAUCCUUUCAGUAGACAGUUCUAGUGGCCCAAACUGCAAUAAUGGAGGCGGUGCUCCAUUUUUAUCUUUAUUUAGAACACGAAGGAGAAUGCACUGAACUACACAGGUUAUGGCUAUUCCUGUGCGAAAGCAUCAGCAAUGCAACAUCUCUGUGGAUGUUAUAGCUCUGGCUGUUUGACCUAACAGAUGAAUGAUGAUAAAACGAUGCAGCAAUGAAUAAUGAGAUGUAAAAUACCAGUGCUGCAGUAUGUCCUCAAACAGGUUGAGAUUGCCUUUGCUGGUAUAGUUUUACCUGCAGUCCCACUUGAGCAUUUGCUUCUUUACACCAUCAUCAUGAUUUUUGAGAUCAUAUGGAAUUGCUUCAUCUCCAAUGAUAGGUUAACGAAAGACCACGAAGCUGAUAAUCAUAGUUCAUCCACCAUCUAGAGUGUGUUUGGUAUUGCGGUAGCCGUUGUGGUUGUGGUUUGAAAAAAAUUGUUUUAUAAAAAGUACUUUUAGUUGAGGUUGGUUUGAAAAAAUAGGUGUUUGGUUAAAACUGUGGUUGAAAUUGAAAUUGAAAAAAAAAAGUAGUUUAAUAUGUUUGGUUAAAAAAAUGUUUUUCAAUUGAAUUUUUUUUUAACUGGGCCGGACCCGGCAAAAACAUAAUUGGAAUUGCGAUCAAAUUUUACAAAUGCUACGUCAUCAUGCAAUAUCCUUUUAAUUUAUGUAGUAUUAUUAAAUAAUAUUAAAUACUAAUUUUUCGAGUAAAACACAAAUUUUUUUAAAAAAAUCAACAAUUUCAUUAUGUACAAAAUUCAUUUGACAAUAACUACAAUUAUCAUGAUUUAUCCUGCGUGCAAUAAAAUUAGGUAAAAUAUUAUCAGAAAUAAAAUUGAGAUUACAGUACGAAUAAAUUUAACUUACCUUAAAAUAAUUUAAAAAAAAUAAAAAAAAUGUUUUUCAUGUUCACGUGAACGCACUUAAUUAACUGCACUAGUUUUUCGAGAAAAAAAAACUUAAUGCACUGGUUUUUCAAAAGAAAAAAUUAAUACUACUGUUCACUUAGUGAACAGUGCGCGGUGGAGCAUGGCUCCACUAUUGAGAUUCCUUACUCACUACGAGAAGCAGCAAAAUGCUGCUUCUCAAGACCUGCGGUGCAAUCGUUGAUUUCAGUGGGUCCUACUAGCAAAAUACAUUUUUUUUUUUUACCAAACGCUGGUAUGUGUGGCUGCGGGUGAACCUCACCCACAGCUACACUACUAGUACCAAUAACGUAUUUCAGCACCCUUCGCUAGGUCAUGUCUUGGGUAGUGUAUGCUCAAAAUAUUGCAAGUAGACAUGCCUGAUUCUUGAUGACACAUGUUCUCCUGCCUUUCUCUGGUGCUUUCUCGUGGAUUGGAAGUGUUUGUGUAUCUGUCUUUAUAGGCAGAUUAUACGGUUCAUGUACACUCCUGGGUUGUGAAUUUAGAUAAUCACUCACAUCUUCCAUGGAUAAAAUUAGUUCAUCAAUGUGGUAUGUAAGAUCCUUCUUCAAUGGUGACAUCGGCUUCCUUCCAAGCCAAGCGGAAUGACAAAAGGGAAGCAAAAUGUCCGGGUGCGUGCUCCUAUGAGUAUUUGGAUGCGUUUUAAAAAUAUUUUUGACAGGAAAAAAAAUUAAAUAAAUGGGGUUUUCAAUGAUAUUUAAUAGUUUUGAUGUAUUAAUGUUAAAAAUAAAAUAAAAUAAUUUAUUUUUUUAAAUAAAAAAUAUUUUUAAAAAACACCACAAUAAAAUUAUGUUUCAAAAUUUAUAAGAACUUAAACACAAAGAGUUUUUUUAUUUUUUUAAUUUAGCAUUUUUUUAAAAUAUUAAUAAGACAACAUAGUCCAUAAAAUAUUUAAAAAAUAAUAUAAUUUAUAUAAUUGCAAAUGACAUUUAUAUUACAUAUGACAUUUAUGAUUCUCGAAUUACAAAUGUCACUGGCAACUCUUUUAAAUUAUAAAAUGACCUCAUACAAUUAUAACAAGGAAAAUGGAGAAAGCAUGGAAAAAAAAACUUUAAAGAUACUUACCGUAAUUUUAAUAAAAAUAUCAUUUAUAUCAUAAAAAAAAAUCGUAACAAGAUAAAUUCAACGACACCAAAUAAAAUUAUUAAUAAAAUGAGUAAUAUUAGCUGUAAAAAUGACGGGUAUUUUUGAGCAGCUGAUAUAAUUUAUUUUAAUUAUAAUGGGUGAUUAUUUUUAAUAUUGUUUGAUUAAUCUUAGCAAAAUCUUUUCAGAAUUAUUGAUGGCGUAGGUGUAGCUAUUAUAAUUUCAACGUGAUAGUAAGAUUAUUUUCUCUCUCUCCCUCCUUCAUUAUUGCAAACUGUGCAUGUCAUUUUAUAAUUUUAUAAUUUGAACUCUCUGAAUAUUUUCUCUUAGUUUUUGUUUGUCUCUUGCGAUAGAGUACAAAAACACUAUUCACAGAUUGCACAGUUUGCCAGUCUCUUGUCAAUUCCUCGAAAAAGCAAAAGUUUUAUGGGUAGCCAGGGCUCCAUUGAAGAACAUGCUCACUGCAGUCCACGGUACAGAUUUGAUUUGAUGGCUCCCUGCUCUCCACGCCACAAAUCCACAAUGACCUCGAAAAUUCAUAACCAUUGAGAGGCUGAGAAUCUCUUCGUUGAGUAUGUUCUUCCCAGCUGCAUACAACCCAGAAAGGGUCCGGAGGUGACAGGCGGGUCGAAUAUUCCAAGACCCGGUUUUUCCUUUCACGUGCGAAAAGAAUUUGUUCUGUGGUCAUGACUCAUAUCCUUGAAAGGCACUCGUGUCAACUUGUCCACUGCAUGCUUGCCACUCCUUUUAUUCUCCCAUUCUACGCUCCUCAAUUAUUAUCCUAUUCUUUUUUUCUUUUCGAAUUUCCACUUUGCACCAAAAAGGGAGAAAAUAUUUAGAAAAUAUCACAUUUUAGAAUACUACAACCAUCAAGAAUUUUAUUUUAUUGGUCCCAGUAGCCUAACUAAGAUGCCCUACUAGCGACUAGUUGCGGUCAAGGCGGUACCUUCAAGGUUCUGUUUGUUUUAUACUUUAAAAAAAAAUUUAAAUUUUUUUUAUUUAUUUUAAAUUGAUUUUUUUUAAAAAAAAUUAUUUUGAUAAGCUAAUUAUUUUAAUAUAUUUUUAAAUAAAUAAAUACUUUAAAAAAACAAAACAAAAAAAACACAUUCUCAAACAAGCUACAAAUUAAAGUCGAGGAUGUUUUGAUUUUUUAUUAAUUUUAGAUUUUUAGCUUAAUUUAAUGAUUUUUAUUUAAUUCCUUUUAGUACAGCUGGAUAACAAAAUUAUCAACACAAUAUUAUAAUAUAACUCAACCUUUUGAUUUUUUUUUCCCUUAAUUUCAACGGUUGAGCGCUACUCCCAAGCUUAGCAGCUUUUUUGUUCUCUCUCUGCCUAUCAAUAUCGCAAGCAAUCAACUUUUAAUGAUAUGCUUUUGCACUUUAGUUACUUUUAGGUGCAGAAUUUGGAACCACUACGUCAAAAGCAGCAAGGCCUCAAUGAAAAUUAGCCCCCCCUUUUCCAAGUUUUCCUUCAUCCAAGGGACUCGGAGCAAUCAGCACACCACCUCCGAUCGAAAAAGGAAAAAUGCUCACAAAUUAAAGCAGAAGUAAACAAAAGAUUGAUGAAUUGAUGUGGCGGUUAUUUUUGGAAGUGUUUAUAUUAUAUAUAUUAAGCAAUAAAGAUGAUCAAAAGAACAAGGCACUCAAACAAAUAUAGCAUGCAUUUGAAUGAUAAAAUGCAGGUUUUACACUCGCAAGAUCUGAUAACACAAACCCCUUUAUUAAUCCAAAGUCAAAACUAAAUUGAUAAUGAAAGACACAAGGCAUGGACAAAUGCCUCUAAGGACUCAGAAUCAUAACCCCAUGAAAUUUAUUCAAGGAAAAAAUAGAAGGAAAAAACAAAUAGCUGAAAAGAACUACUUCUCUUCAGCUUCCUCGUCCUUCUCAUCCUCACUCCAACAACAUUUCAGGAUAGACCUGGGAGAUGCACUGCCUCCAGUCCUUGCAAAGCUGUGGUAGAUGAUCGAUCCUCCUUUCCCAAGCAUUUCAUAGUUCCCUCCUCCACCAGAGUAACCUUCCACAUCCAGGGGAAACUUUGCUCGAAGUUCGGCACCCUUGAUAUUAGAAUGCAAAGCAACGGAGAACUCGGUCGGUUCAAAGCAAGCCAAAACCCUUUCAAGCAGCUGACUCAAAUUCAAAUCUUGAAGAUCAUAGCCCACAGCCUCAAAACUUGCAUAGCUGAAACCAUCUUCUGGAGUGACGUGGAUUGUGGAAAUUGCACUCCCUUCAAUGGCAUUCAUAGAGUAACCACAAGGGUCAAAAUCAAAAUCACAGAUCUCAGACUGUGGAAGGAUUUUCCUUAUGCCGGAAUCCUCAGUCAUCGCAGCAGCUGAACUGGAAUGUGUUUUGUAGAAAACAGAUGCUUGUUUCCUGCCCAAACCAGUCAUGCACAUUUCCAGAGUGUAAACAGGGGCAGAAUGUCUCCCUAUAUCGGCAGAGGCAGAGUAAACAUGCCAUUUCUGAGUUUUGUCAAGACCACCCAUCACAUAUGCCACACUGUUCAAACCAAGUUUACUGAAAUGGCCAUCAAGGACAGCUACCUCCUCACAGAAGUUGCGGUGUGGAAAUGGCUGAGCCCCAGGGCAUAGAAAGCUCCCACGAGUAUACCUCACAGAACAUACAGUGAGUGAAAGGGCAUCAGCGAGCUUAAGAAUCACCGGUAUAGAGAGAAGCAGUUUGGUAGUCCCACAAGUUUUGAUAAUAACUUUGUAUGGGUACACAAAGAGACUGGAUUCCGACAGGACAUAAGAAUCAACCUGGUCAUUUGAUAGCAAAUCAACAAUAGUACAUUCAGCUGGUUUGAGAAUCUCGUCCAAUUGAGCCUUGGACAAAGACCUCAGGCCCUUUCCUUCAGGGUCAGAAAAGAAGCCAGGCUCUUGGAAAGAUAUUUCAAGCCUUUUUUCGUAACCUUCAAAUCCGAUUGCAGAGAGCGCCAUCUCACCUCACAGUCAACAAAUGAAAAGUGCAGCAAAGAGUACAAGAGAACGAGGAAAGCAGAACAGAAAAACAGACUAAAGACAAUUGAGUGUGCGAAAUAGCUAAAAUGGGGUUAUGUCAACACUUGGAAAAUCUCAGGAUGGUUUCCGAACGCACUGCACAAAUAAACAUGACACAAGAUUAGGAAACAAGUCGCACAAUGAAAAGGCAAAGGAAAAACAGAUCGAUUAACUUCAAACUCACGUUGGAGUAUGCAGCAGAUCUGAACUUCUUGAUUCCACCAGCAGGUCUGAGGUCUUCAAUGCUGUAACCGAGGGGAGCUUCGUAACAUAAGGAUUUACUACUACUACUACUAGACUUCUUCUUGCCACCUUUAGACUCCAUUAGAUCAUUCAGUCUUGUCUGUAAGAAUCACACAAGAAGGAUUGCAAUUAGCACAAAACUCAAAGCAAACUAGUCUAUAAUCUUAAAAAUAAUAGCAAAAUUCCAAUAGCAAAUUAAAAAAAACUGAGAAGCUAGACAAGGAGAUAAAAGAAGCAAUUAAAAAAAUGAUAAAAAGGGCAAAACAAAACAAAGGGUACAAGCAGAAAACUUUUCAUGUAUUCACAAUAGAGACAUAUUGGAGAUUAAAAAUCAACAGACAAUACAAGCUACAAAAAUCACUAAUCAAUCACCAAAUCAUAAGUAAAAUAAAAUAAAAUAUUGAAUUUAAAAGACUAUUCACAAGGAUAGAAAAAAUACCAAAGAGAAAGAAUUCAAAUCCCCAAACACCAUUUAAUUUUAAAUAAGUUGCAGAAUAAAAUAAAAUAAGUUAUUCUCAGAAGAAAAUUUGCUAAGCCUAAUAUAUAUUUUUUUUUCAAGACCAAGAUCAUUGCUAAGCAACAUAAACCAAGUCCAGACACCUUGACGAAUCCAUAAACAUAAAAGCCUCAGAUUUACAUUAUAUCAAGGAUCGGAACAAUUAACAUACACAUAAAACAUAAAGGACAACAAUACAAAAACAAGUCCAAAUCAACAUCUACACCAAGAAUCCAUGCAAGUAUUACCAAAAAAGGGGAGAAAAAAAACUUACCAAUAAAAUAUAUCAAAUCUUGAAAAGCUAGUCUCCUUUGAAAACCCCCUCUUUCUCAAAUUCAAAAAAAAACCUACAAACCAAAGUCACAAAGAAUUAAACAAAAUCACCAGAUUACAAAACCACAGCAAGCAAAAGAAACAAUGUAUAUAUUACCUAUUCAAAAAGCAUAAAAGAAACAGGUCAAGAUUGAAUUUUGAAAGCAAAGACGGCGAAAACAGUCACCAAAUCAAGAAACCCUAUUUUUAUUUGUGAUGAGAGAGAUUUUUAUGACCCUAAACUUGCAAUAUUUUUUAUGUGAGUUCUGAGAGAAAUAUAGGGUUUAUAUAGGAGUGGCUGGCUGGCUGUGGAGGUUUUGAAAUAACCAUGGGAUUGGUAGUUAAUUACGUCCAUGCCACUACCAAAAACUUUCUUUCUUAUUUCACGUGAAUUUCCUCGAAGACCGGAUAGCCACACAUCUUUUGGUAAGUUAAUGACUAUAUUACCCUUUACGAGUUUGCAAGAUAAGCGGAGUAACGACAACGCAUUUUAGGUGGGCGAGUCGAUAGAAUCAUAGAAGUGUGUGGCUCUUCUGCAUUAUCAGCCUUAUUUCUUUUAUGAUAAUAAAAAUAAAAUAAAAUAAACAUUACAGUUGUUUUCUUAGGUAAAUUUAGGCAGGGUUAAAAGUUUAGUUGUCAUUGGUUUUUUUUAAGUAUUUUUUAAUACUGAAAUUUAUUAAAAUUAUUUUUUUAUUUUAAAAAAAUUAUUUUUAAAAUUAUCACAUCAAAACAAUUUAAUAUAUAUAAAAAUAAAAUUAAUUUUUUUAGAAACACUUUCAAAAUACUUACUAAAUAGUCCAUUAAGUUUUUUUUCCCUUUGGUUCACCAAUUAAAAAUCACUAAGUUUGAUGUGUUUUCACUUUGUUUUGCAAAAUAAUAUGAAAAGAGCACUCUCAAAAUUGUAUUGAAAAUAAUUUAGGUUUCAAAAAUCGUCUUUUACUAUAUAAAAAAAAAAGAGUUCAAAAACAGAGUAAUAUUCUGUUUUUUUUUAAUAAAAAACUUAAAAAUAAAAAGGAAAAAAUUGAUUUUUUUCAAGAUUUUGUGAAAAAAUAAGGUAAAAAAAAAGAAUAUUACAAUUAUUAAAUAAGCUAGGCACAGAAGAAGAAUUGCAUUACAGUUAUUUUAUAUGUGAAAAUCUAUUCUAUAAUAUUUCUAACUAAAUAUAUAUUUUUUAAAUUUAUUUUUUUAAAAAAUAUAAUUAAAAUCUUUUUUCUUCAAUUUGUUUUCAAACCGUAACAAAAAAAUAAAAUAAAACAAGCCAGUUCAGGUACGUAUGUGUUGUGUGGUGCUGCGCUGACGUGUCUGUUGAUGAUGACAAGUUGCAGCUGCCAGCUAGCUUUUCUUGGAGGGCUGACACGACAUGUAACUAUUCCCACCCCAUACGUUUACUGCCUGCCUCUUUGUCUCUUCCUUCUUUGCCCUUUUCAUGCUCGUCUUGCUUGCUGGUUUGGGUCCCACAGCAUCUAUCCGGGCUCACUUCCAAAUCUGUGGUGUGGUAAGAUAUCCCUUCCACUUUUCAAAAAAAAAAACCCUAGUUACGGGUUAAUUUUGAAUUUGGUUGUCUGUCUGUUUUUAUAUAUAUGUUUUAAAAAUAUUUAAAAAAUAAUAAUUUUUUUAUUUAUUUAUUUUAAAUUAAUAUUUUUUUGAUAAAUGAUAUAAAAAAUAUUAUUUUUUUUAUAUUUUUUAAAAAAUAACCACUAUUAUAUUUUCAAAUAUCUAUUUAAUCCACAUUGGAUUUCUUAAUAAAUAAAAUAAAAUAAAUUAAUUCAAUUAAAAAUUUAGGUCAACUUGUGUUAUGAUAAAAAAUACCUUUUGAUUUUUAAAAAAAAACUAAAAGCAACAUUAUUUUGAUUUUAAAAAAAUUGAUUUAACUCACUACAUAAAUCUUCAAUAGUACAGGUCAGGUUUAAUAACUCUUAUUUAAGAAUUAGCUAAAUAAUACAUUUAUUGACCUUUAUGGUCAUGGGUCCACAGUUCCACACAAAUAUGAACCACAAUCACACCAAUUUUGAUUAUUUUUUUAAUAAUUUUUUUGUGUCUUUUUUAUAUAUUGAUAUUAAAAAUAAAUUAAAAAUAAAAUAUAUUAUUUUAAUAUAUUUUUAAAUAAAAAAUAUUUUAAAAAAUAAUCUCUUUCAUAAUACUAAACAACAUCAAAAAUAAAAAUUUUGAAGUGUGGAGGGCUGGUUUGGCUUCCCAUCAUAAGAAUAUAUAAAGAUGAGAAGAGAUUAUUUAAAAAAAAAAUAAAGAUGACAUUGAUUAUUUUUAAGAUUAAAUAUUUUAAAAUCAGCCCCCAUACAUUUAGAUUAAAUAUUUAUCUGAUUCAGUUUUAUUUAAUUUUUACUUUCAAGUAAAUUUUUAUGUUUUUAAAUUUUUUUGAUAUGUUAAUAUUAAAAAUAAAUUAAAAUUAAAAAUAUAUUAUUUUUAUAUAUUUUUAAAUAAAAAAUAUUUUAAAAAAUAAUCUCUACCAUAAUAUUAAAUAUAGCAUGAGAGAGCUCAAUUUUGAGGAGUGCAGGGCCAAUUUGGCUUCCCAUCGUAUGAAUAUAUUACUAUGAGAAGAGACUUUAGCUUCUUCUUUUUUUAAAGAUGACAUUGAUUAUUUUUAAGACUAAAUAUUUUUAAAUCAGCUCCCAGAUUAAAUAAUUAUCUAAUUCAGUUUUAUUUAGAUUAUGCUUUCAUACACAUCUUUACUAGUGACAAAGCCUCUUUUUUUUUUUUUUAUCAACAAAGUCAAUUAAGGACCCUUGCGUUACAAAAAAGUUAAUUAAUUUAAAACAUCAAGUCGACACUUAUAAACCAAUUCAAAAUAACAAUUUAACAUAUGUGUGUAUUAAGAAUUAAAUUCAUAUGCUUAGCACAAACGUGAAGAAAAAUAGAAAAUAAAUUAAAGUGAAAUAUUCUGACUAUCUAGAAUUAUAUUAAUUAAAUUUGUAACCGAGGUUCCGUGUUAUAAUGGGAAUUUGAAUAUCAAAGCUUCUAAAAUUUAAUCCAAAAAGAAAUAGUAAAAAGUAAAAAGUGAGAAGAUUUUAGUUAGUUAAGUUUUGAUUUUUUUAAAAAAAAUAUUUACUUACCUGAAUCAUUAACAUGUUUAGGAGUGUGGUUGCAGUUGCUUUUAAAAAUAUUUUUCGUACCGAAAUAUAUCAAAAUAAUAAUUUUUAUUUUUAAAAAAUUAUUUUUGAAAUCAGCACAUUAAAAUAAUUCAAAACAUAUAAAAAUUUUUAAUUUUUAAUAACUAAAUAAAUAAAUUUUGACGAAACACGAUUUGCAUCGCGUUCCCAAACACCAUGAUGUUAUAUAGAUUUACAAUUUGAAUCAGAAAAAAACAUUCCUUUUUUUUACACUAAUUUUUAAUGGAAUGUAUUAAUUGGAUUUAAAACUUGAAUUAGAAAAAUAUUCCUUUUUUGCACUAAUUUUUAAGGGGAUGUAUUAAUUGGAUUUAAAAUUUGAAUUAGAAAAAGACAUUCCUUUUUUGCACUAAUUGUUAAAUGAAUGUAUUAAUUGGAUUUAAAGCUUGAAUUAGAGAAAUAUUCCUUUUUUGCACUAGUUUUUAAAGGAACGUAUUGAUUGGAUUUAAAAUUUGAAUUAGAAAAACAAAAAUCCUUUUUUGCACUAAAUUUUACAGGAAUGUAUUAAUUGUGUCUCUAUACAAGUUAAAGUGCUUGAAAAGGAGAAAAAUAAAAAGGUAAGUCAAUACAUCCUUUACAUAAUAUGAUAAAUAAAGCCAUCAAACUCAUGGAGGUGAUUUAUUAUUAUUAGCUCUGACAAGUUAGAGACAUGAAAAAUGUAAAUAUAAGUCCACUUAUUGUGUAAUUAUAGUUAUUUUUUAAAAUAUUUUUUAUUUAAAAAUAUAUCAAAAUAAUACUUUUUUUUAUUUUUAAAAAUUUAUUUUUAAUAUCAACGCAUCAAAAUGAUUUAAAAACACCAAAAAUAUAUUAAUUUUAAAAAAAUAAAAUAUUUUUUCAAAAACAUUUUUGAAAUGCAAAAACAAACAAAACAUAAUUAAAGAAUAUUUUCCUUUUGAAAAGGAAUCAAAUUCUUAUAUUUUCCGAGUUAAUCUGUUGGUUAAUGUAUCAAUACAGAAAAAUAAUUAAAAUAAAAUACUAGAGAUAAAAGGUUACAUCUUUAUAUAUUAAAAUGACAAUAAUUUAUAUCUUUAUUUUUGUAGGUUUCUGUUCUACCAUUAACCAUCAUAUUUAUGAUUCUUCUAGACAUAUCUUACACUUCUGUCUUGAAACCCUAACCAAAUUUAACCUUAAUGGUUGCCAGCACCAUUAUUAAAGGGAAGAUUUGCCGACACUUCUGUCCAAUUGCACGGGCAUCCACUGCUUAGGAAUAAAUUCUGUCGAGACAUUAGCUUCAUUAGAGCCUAUGCUUUUGCAUGUUGGGCGGAAAGUAAACCACUAGACAGUAUGUAUGCAGCAAAUGCAUGGAACUUAUCAAAAAAAGGCGAUUCUUCAAAGGUGCUCUUGAUAUCUAUCUUCUUAUUGAAGAACUAACCAUGAUGCUUCCGAGCAAUGUGUAUCUGCAGGCUUGGUACAAGGGACCAGACAACAUAUAUCUUCAACUAUUCUACGGGUGUUCAAGGAUGCUCAAGAACAAUUUUGCAACUUCACGUUUUCUCGAUGAUGACACAUAUGAAGCAUUUCUGAUGCCCUAAUUUUGUGAUGAUGUCCCACUACCAGCCCGAUCUGGCUGGAUAAGAAUUCUCUGUCAGCCAAAAUCUUUAUGAGCUGGUUGGCACGAGAAACUUCUGUUGACUUGCAAUCUCUAACUAGGAACAAGAAGCCAAAAGAAAUGAAGUGAAUCAACUCUCCUUCUAAGAAGUAGCAAAGUGUAAUUAUUACCUAUCAAGCAAGGUAAACAGACGAGCAUGUCAUUUUAGUUGAUUUACUCAGGCAGUGUUAUGAGAUGGAAAACAGAUUUUAAGGUUAACAAGGUGAGAGGCAUGUCCAGGGCAGGAGAGGCGUUUAAAAAUAAUUCUUGAAAUAUUAUACCGAAAUUACACACCUUCCAUGCAAUCAUUACUGAAAAGACACAAUCUAGUCAUCAUCUUUAUCGCUAUCAUAUUCAAUGCAUUACAAUCAAGAAGAGAAUCCCAUCCUAGUAGGAGAUGACUAGAUCUGACCACUAAUGUCACACUACUUUCUCUAAUCCGUAUGCAUCACAUGUUCCAUGGACAUUUUCAACUCCACCAAGCAACUAUGGAGCAUCAGGCCAUCACGGAAGUAAAUGCUUUAUAAACACUUUUCAUGCUAUAAGAUAGUUCAUGACAAAAGAAUAAAAGAAUCAGAAUGUAUGGAGUAACUAAAGGCUUAGCUCCCUUGAAAGAAGAGAAAAACCUUCAUUGUAACUGUUCCUGAUUCCUGUUAAUUUCUGUGGAAUGACUAAGCUUUCCAUUCUUCUUGUCAUACUCUUGUUUCAGCUCUUCCAAACGUCUGGACACCUGAUAACGAAUCCACUCCUUUUUCAUGAAUAAUGAAUAAAGUUUUACUUCAAAAACUAAGCCGGUUCAAUAUGCAGAACACUAACGCAUAUUAAUUACAUUGCUAGGGGUGUGUGUCUAAGCAUAAUUUAAGCAACUACCCAAAAUACAGCCAAAUUGCUCGAAUAUCCAACAACAUUAUAAAAUGCGCACACACAGACAUGAUACAUAUGGCUCCCCUUAUAAAUCAUCAAAAAUACAAUAUGGUUCCGCUUAUAUUAAUGGCUCCAAAUAUUAAUAAUUCUUACCGAUUCAUGAUUUUAGGAGGAACCAUAUAUUUUCUCGGAGUUAUAUUUCAUAUUUUUCACUAUUCUGUGUCAAGAAUACAAAACAAAACAUACACAGGAAAAGUGGCUGUAUCAAAUCAACCAAAACAGAAUUUAAGAAUAUCAGAAUUUUUGGCAGCUUAAACAGAGAUUGCUACUGAAUGACAGCAAACUUUUAUUAAAUAUCACUGUAAAAUACAACAUGUUUACUGGCUCAAAAGAUUAAAAUCCAAAGAUCAUCAUAGAAGCACAAGACUGUCUAUAAUUAUAAUUUGACUAUACUGAUCCAACAUACAGAAAAUGGAUGGAGAUAACCAGAGCAACCAUGAUAUAUAAUAAGUGUGAUAUGAUGGUAGAAUGUAGAGUUCAAAUAAAACUCAAAUUUUUGCUUUUGCUUAAACACACGCCAGCCACACACAGAGAAAGAGAGAACCUUGAUGGAGUUAGCCAUAGGCAGUACUGUAUCUGGAUCCAUUGCACCCUCAGGGAAAUUACGCAAAGCAUGUACAAGCUUCUCAAAGGGCAAUUUGACCUGAAAACAAAAAGAAAACCAAUUAUAAGCCGGGGAUGUGCGGCUAUUUCUUUCAGAGUAGACAAAAAAAUCUUGGAUCCUCACCAAGUCAUCAUGGCAAUAUUUUAGCAGUGCCAGGCCCACUUUGAAAACAAUUUUUACACCCUGGCAAAGAAGAAAUUGCAGAGACAUAUUAACACCCAGACCAUAUGUAAUGAUCCUUCCCAGAAAAACCGUAAAAAAUGAUUAAUAACUGACCUCGUAAAGGAAGACAUCCCAAAUCCGAAGGGCCAAGUGGAAUGGAAAAGAGUAUGAGAAAACAGUUAUAAACCACUGGCUUGCAUACAUGCUAGGAUUUAUUAUUUCUUGUGUGAAAUGCUCUCCCAGUUUCGGCAUAUGCUCCUUCAUCAAGCAGUCAAACUGAAACAGAUAUUGUUGAACAAGAGGCAGACCCACCUGACACAAGUAUAAAAUAUAACUUCUCACAGGAUGAAAGUGUUUUCAAAGCCCAAGAAGAGUGGAUGAGGUGCUGUUCCCUCAGACUCGAGUUCAAAAAGAUGCUACAGGUGGUUCAUAUGCUCAUAUCAUACCAAUAAAUGGUUGAUGGGGUUUUGAGGCGGUAAUAAAUCUUGGCAGUUUACAGACCGUUACAUUCCCUUUUCUCUCUCAAGUAUGAAGCAGCUCAUUUACAUGAAGCAUGUGGUGAACCUACCAUUGAACGUACAAAGAUCAAUCUAACUCUAAGAAAGCUUGAAGGAGCCCCAAAACUCAGAAUAGGAUGCCACCAUAACCAGGUGGAAAAAGAUUCUCUCACCUUUUGGUAUCACAUGAAAUAAACAAAUUUCAAAUGGUCAUGAUACUGUGGAUGACUAGUGGAUUCAUAAUUUUGGUAACUGCAGAAAACUUGUCUCCACAAAACAUAAUUCAAAACUAAUAGACUAUUUUUUCUUUCCUUAACAAGGAGUAUGGAAUCAAAGUUAAAACUCCAUAGUGGCUGGCCUUUCCUUAAGUUUGAGGAAGCGGUAAGCCACCCCUCUAGGUUAUGGUAUUUGAAAUUGUAAUUAGAUAAAUAUGCAUCUUGUAAUUCUGAACUUGGCUAAAAAAAUUAUCAAGAAGCGGUCCCAGCUCCUUAUCAAGGCAUUCCAAGUGUAAGUGUGCACAGUGGUGUGCGUGGGAGAGAAACAGAGGAAAUUCAAGCCUGAUUUCAUCAACAGAGGGCAUCCUUCAUUUUUUUUUAAUGCUAACAGAGGAUAUAAAUUCUAUAAGCUACUAAGAAGUGAAAAGUUGCAAGUGACACCACCAUUAUGUGGUGUAUGUAUUGUCAAGGAAGUUGAUGGAUGAUAACACUUCCUUUCAGCACUCUCCCUGAAACACCAAGCCACCACAACAAAGCCACAUGAAAACUUGUUGAGAUGAAUAAAUGCAAAUCUUAUUGCAUCGCGUUGCUUUAUCUCGCCCAGUCUGUGCUGACUUGAUAGUGAUCUAUAUCUAUGAUUGUAGGGAAUUAGCAUCUCACAGCCAAUAAUCUAAGCUAACCACAACUUUACAAAUGUGAACAAGAAGCUCUUUGUAUAAAUGAAUUACCUGAUAUAAUCCCUCCAUUGGAGCAUGGACCGCUCCUUUCAGCAACGCAACCAACAACCAAAAAGCAUCCUCUUCACUCAUAUAAAGAAGUAGUAAACCAGCUAAAAAUCCCAUCCCCUGCAUUUUUUAACAAUUGAACUGUCAUUCUCCAGUCAGUGAAUUAAGUAAAUUUAAGAUCCAUAAAUCACACAAGUCUCAGACCUGAACAUAUCCAACAUCUCUAUCAUACACAGAGUAAGCCUUCAAAACAUUGUACAGCGACCUUUGACCAGGACCAUGUCUCUGCUGGAAGAAAACAUGCGAUGGGAAGGUCCGAGAAAUAUCUCUAAUUAUAUCCAGCUCUGAUGCUGAUGUCUCAUAUAUAACUAGUUGCUGCAGUAAAUAUAUAGUUUCAUCAUUAUGACACAAACUAAUCUAUGUGUGGCCGUGUGUACAUGCAAGCAGAGGGAAAAGAGCAUGAAAAGCUAAAAUUAACAUCAGAAACCAAGAACUGUGCAUUCAUUUAUUCUUUUUAGGAUAUAAUUCCCCAGCCACUUAUGAUCUUUUCACAGAUAAUGUACUGGUUAUGUAGUAGUAAAUUUCUCUAAGAAUAAAUCCCAAGUCAAUACUUGUAAAAUCUCUUUGCAUGUGAACAGUGAAAACUCCUGCGUUUCUCUCAUAUGAAGGCACAUCACAAACACACAUCAGAAGACAGAGCCUUAUUUGGUCUAUUACGUGCAAAAGCUCAUUAGUGUCUACCCUGUUAAGGUGCCCUAAACAAAAGUUUUAUCUCAAAAAGCAAUUUAUCCUUCCAAAUUUGGUUCAAAGCGAGUAAGGAUAAUAGCCUUGGGGUAUUAGAAAGGAUUAGCAAAAGAGCUUCUCAAAACCCUCAAGAGGUCUAAAAACCCUCUUAGCUACCUUGAUGGAAAACUAAAAUUGUCAAAAAUAGGUAAAGAAGAACGAAAUCCUUUGUCUAGCUUAGAUUCCUUACAAAGAACAAAAGAAAGAAAAGCACUGAAGGACACAUGAUUGGAUGCCAGUAAGGGCUAUAGAAAAGAAAUAUCCCUUCUCCACGUCUUCUAAGAAGAAUAUGAUUUGUUUUACUUCACCGAUUGUACUAGCAAAAUGAUCUGCAGAUAUUUUUGGAAUAAAGCUUCACUGUAUGUAAUCUGCAAUAAUUUCAGCACCGAUCCAUUAAUUUUUAUGCGAGAGGUGUAGAGCCCUUGUCAGAGCCAAAAAUUUCAUACAUGUAUAUACCAAAGCAGCUCCCUGGAUAAUGUUCAUAGGUACUGUUCCUACAUAUACUAUGUUAUCCCCUUCUGCUUUCAAUUUCAACUCCAGAACAAAUCAACAUUUAUCUAUGUACAAAAAAACCUUAAAAUUCCCAGCAGUAGCCAUGUACAUUGAUCAAACAAUUGCCCUGAAUCUAAAUUAUAAGGCAGUCACACAUCACUACAAGGCAAUGCUAUUUGAAUGUUAAAUGUCUUUACAUAUGUGAGAUAAUGUGUACAAACUAAACAAGCAACCUAGUAUAUGUCGAUGCACACUUUAUUUUUUCAUCUUCUUACAUACAACUUUAACAUUAAUAAGCAUGGCAAGACACAAUUGCUCAUCAAGUUUUCCCAGCUAAUCCCUUCCCUGACAUGCUACAUAGCUUCCCUAGGGAAGGGGAUUAUAGAGACAUAACUGUCAAGUAGAUGGGAAAUAUAGGCAUUUUUUUACGAUCUUUCUUAAGGGAAAUGGCCCGUGGUGCUUAAAUGUCUGUAAUGAAUGUUCUUGAAAUUGGAGAUUGCUAAAGUUCAGAAAUUUAAUUCAGGACUAUAUAGAGCAUUCAGUAGGCAAUGGAAAGAAUUAUCCAUCUCUGGUGGGACUCUUGGCAUCCUCAUGGAACCUUGGUCAAACAAUAUGGUCAGAUAAUCAUUUUUGAAUCUGGACCGCCUUCUACAGCAAGGCUUUUACAUGUGAUAAACAGCAAUGAAAGUAAAUGGCUAGCUCAGAUGCCAUGGAAGUGCCAUUCAAUGUGCUAUUUGUGGCUUUCUCUUCCCUUAUCCUUCGCAAAGCGAUGGUGUUAUAUGGAAACUCACUAAUGAUGGGCAAUUCUCCUCUAAGAGUGCUUGGGAUUUGAUCAAGAAAAAAUGAAGCGGAGUGGACAGGUUAAAAGAUGAGGCACGUCAAAAUGGACAGGGUCAUGGUUUCAGUUUCUGUGUUAAGCAGAGGAUGAUGAAGACAGAAAUCACCUCUUCCUCACUUGUGUGUUCUCUAAAAGAGUCUGGCAGCCAAUUCUCCAAAUUUGUGGGAAUAAUAGGGUCGUUUCUGUUUGGAACUCUGAGUUGUGCUUGGCAAAAAUCUUUAUUCAGAAAAAGUCUUUUCAAUCUAUUGUUAUGAGGCUUCAUUGGUGUUUUUUUUCUACUGUAUUUGGAAGGAAAGGAAGCAAAAGAUUCAUAAUACUGUUGCAGUAGAUGAAGGUAGCACUGUAAAGAACAUUGUUCAGACAGUCCAGAUAAGGCUUCAAGAUACUAAGAUUUUGCAGGAAGCAACUGGUAACCCAAACAUUUCCAGAUUUUGUGACUUCUGGAAUUUUUUUAAGAUAAAUUUUCUUUCUUAUUUAGAUGUAAAUAACUCUGGUAAACCAGGAAAUUUCAGGUUUUUGAUCUACGAAAUUCACCAUUCAUAUAAAAAAUUAAAAAAUUCUUAAGGUCUUUCUGCAACUAAGCAAAGUUCUGAAAUUCAUACAUCUAAAUCAUCCAGAUGAGUAUAUCAGGCCAUCACAAACUAAGCCCUAGAAUUUUUGGCACUGCCACCAUCAAAUGCUCUUUUUAGCAUACUGAUAUACCAUCCACUAAAAAAGAGCCAAAGUUGAUUUUAAUCCUCUGAAUCAGAUAUAUUGACUAAUUGUUGAAAACAUUAAGAUGGAUAACAAAUGCAUGAUUUAAUCAAUCAACAUGGACUUUGAUUUUAAAUUUUAUUAUCUGAGAGCUUUAAAUCUUGUGCCUUUAACACCUACGUGUUGAAGUGAACAGACCAAUGUGCAAAAUAUUCAGAAAAAAGGAAGAAGUGAGGGGAGUCCGGUAACAUCUGAAGAACUAAAAUGAAUGAUUUUAACGCUCAAAGAUAAUAUGAGCAAAGCCACUACAUAUUACAAAUAGAAUCUCAUUACCAAAAUGAUAAGCAAAAGAUCUCAGGUUAUAUAUCUCAAUCAAGACAAGUGAAGGAGUACCUCAUAAACCCCAGGGUUCAUCAGCAAAAGGUCACGACUUCCGGAGAUCAACUGCCAAACAAGACCCCUUAAACAGUCAGGGAUUCCUUUCCUUAUGCGCCUCUUAACAACAUGAGGUUUUCUUCGAACAUAAAGCUUCCAAUCACUCCCUCCAACCCCAAUCAUCUUCCUCCAUUUUCUUACCCUUCUUUCCUCCCUGAAAAAUUUUUAUGUCCACAAUCACUAAUCAAGAUUAUUAUCUAUUAGUAUCAAGGAAGAUCCAUCAAUGAGCCUUUGGCAUUAACUCAUUUGGAAUAUUGGAAAUGACCUCCUGAAGAAACACCAUACCUCUCAAAUUCAUAAGCUGACCUUCCUUUGGUUAAACCAUGUGGUGAAUUAUUAACCUCUUGCUUCACAAAGCCAAACCUAUCCAGUGGUCUUGGUGAAGGAAGCGGUCCUGAUUCAUAUUCAUCUAUUUUUUUCUUCAUGCUACUAUUUGAAAGAAACUUUAGUAUGCCACAAGGCAGAGGGCCUAACUCUCCCUGACAUGGCAAUCCACUAACCAAUCUCAAAUCACCUGCAAAACCAAAAUUGAAUUAGCUGAAAAUCAUACAACUAAUACUAUUAGUUAUUACACAUUGAACACAUAAAAAAAAAUGAAAAUAAAAAGGAAUCAAACCUCAUUCUUAACUGGAGUGUUAGAAAACCAUGAGAGUAUCAAAAUUAACCAAAACAUUCUAAACAUGCAAGUAACCGGUCUGCUUAGUUAAAGAAAAUGAAAACAAGUAUAGUAAUUUUAGAGUUAAUUUCAAGUAUAUAGGUAUACAAGAAAGUUUCAUAACUGGUGAAGAUACCUAAUUAGAAGUAAGCAUAUCCAAGCACAAUGACGGCAACUAAUAUCGUUCAAUAAAACUGAAGACACGGCGGCAGCAUAGCUGUUUAGAAAUGACAAGACAAUAACGAGCAUAAACUAAAGCAAAGGAAACCACCUUGAAAAGAAGCAUGGCAAUGGAUAACAGCUACAACUAUAGAUGAGCAGAUAAGUUAAAUGAAAGAAAAAGAACCAAAUAAGGAGAGUUUAUCAAUGUUAAAACUGAACAUGUACAGUUCAUAAUACUAUACACUAAACAACAAACAAUGGAGCUUUCUCUCAAGCCUAAAUGAAUUCAAACACAACUUCUACCAGCCAAAAAAAUAUCAGCCAACAGGAUCUCAAAUUCCCGCAACAGUGAAUGUGUUACACGCCCAAAAUAUUUAAGUAAAAUGAGGCCACGUAAGCUAAGGAGUUACUUAAUUAUUAAAGGGCAUUUGUCUGUUAUGCUUAUUUUCAAUUCAGCUGUUACGUAAUUUAUUAUUUGAAAUAAUGAGUCAGUUAUUUUCUAUUAAAUGCUAAUUAAGAGAGUCAGUUAUUUACUAUUUAUUACAAGUCUGUAAAAUGCCUAUAAAAGGCAAGAGUAUUAGAAAUAAAAGAUAUCCUUUGAACUUUUAAUUGUGCCGUGUGCAUCUGUGGAGGUUUUCCUGGCUCCUCAAAUUGCCAGAAUUCAUUUAUAAUUCUUGGGGCCUAACAAGUUGGUAUCAGAGCCGGCGUUCCUGCGACAUGGCUGAGGGAACAAGACUAUCCCAGUUAUCUGAAGCAGUACACAAUUUACAAGGGGCAACCACUGCCCUGAAAGAAGAGCAAUCCAAGCAUGGAAUGCUAAUUGAAGGAGUGCUACAGCAACUCAAUAAUUUGGCAUCAAGCUAUGAUAGCUUGGUACAAAUUACAACUAAAACCAAUUCAGGAGAAGGGACUUCUAACAGUGUCAAAGUAAAUGCUAAUCCUUUGUUUGAUGGACAUGGGGGAAUUCAAGCUCGAUCUCUUCGAUUGGAUUUUCCUCGUUUCGAUGGGGGAGAUCCCAGUGAAUGGAUCUUGAAGGCGCAACAGUUCUUUAAUUACUUUGAGACUCCAGAGAACCACAAGCUGGAAAUUGCUUCUUUUCACAUGGAAGGAAAGGCGCUGACUUGGUAUUAUUGGUUGCAAGAAUCUAGCUCAGUGACCAGAUGGAGUGACUUCUUGGAGGCUCUCCGCACCAGAUUCGGACCUUCAGCAUAUGAGGAUCCAGUAGGAGCAUUCACCAAAUUGAGGCAGACAGGGAGCGUAGAGGAUUACCAAACAAAUUUUGAGAUCCUGUCCAAUAAAAUAAGUGGGGUAAGUGAAGAGUUUCGUAUAAGCACCUUUCUAAGUGGUUUAAAAGAUGAAUUGCGAAUUAUCGUUACCAUGUUCAAACCAAAUACUCUUGCUGCUGCUUUUGGUUUGGCUCGGCUACAAGAAGAGGAAGUGACCAGAAAACAUUUCCCUCACCGAAACACUCCCAACCAAAACAACCUAUAUACACCCUCAUUCAAAGCAACCACUCUCAGACUACCUGGACAAAAUCCUAUACCCAAAUUACUAGCCCCAAACCCAGCACUUAAACUUCCACCCCCCCAACAACCAAGAUAUAACCCACCAUUCCAGAGAAGAAACCCAUAUCCUGUAAGGCGUAUAAGUCCUGACCAAAUGCAAGAAAGAAGGGAAAAAGGUCUGUGUUAUUUUUGUGAUGAAAAGUACCAUCCAGGACACAAAUGCAGCAGACCCAAAUUAUACUUACUUGAGGGAAUGGAAUUCAAAGAGGAGGGAGAAGAAGAAUGGGAAGAUGAAGAGGCAUUUAUUCAACCUGAUAUAGAGAAUAUACCUGCAGUCCAACAAGCUAAUCUACUGGGCAUAUCCUUGCAUGCCAUUGCAGGGGCACCUUCUCCCAAAACUAUGAGAUUAGUUGGGAAAAUUGGGACAUGUUCAGUUAUUGUUCUCAUUGAUACUGGUAGUACACAUAGUUUUAUUGACGUGAAUGUGGCAAAGAGGGCAAAACUACAAAUGGAGAAGGUCAACUGGCAGUCCAAGUAGCUAAUGGGGACACCCUUCCUUGCCAGGGUUGCUGUAAGGCGGUUCUUUUACAGAUGCAAAGCUGUAAAGUUUUAGCCAAUCUGUUCUUAUUGACCCUAGGUGGGUGUGAUGUUGUGUUAGGGGUAGAUUGGUUAAGAAGUUUGGGAACUAUUCAGUGGAACUUUGCUGAUUUGAGUAUGAGUUUCUUUGUGGAUGGAGAGAAAUUAUUUCUGCAAGGCUUAAGGUUACCCAAGGAAGCCAUUAAGGAAGAACAUAGUCUGAGCAAGGUUACCCUUGUAGAAGGGAGAGGAAUAUGGCUGCAAUUUAUGGAGAUCAAUGAUAGUCCAAGAGGAGCACCAGUAGAGCCUACCCUACAAACUGUUUUGAAUGAAUUCAAAAUAGUGUUUGCUGAACCCACUGGACUCCCACCUCCAAGGAGUCACGACCAUCAGAUCCAACUCCAAGAAGCAGCUAAGCCAACAUGUGUUAGGCCUUAUCGAUACCCUUACUAUCAGAAAGAAGAAAUUGAGAAGCUGGUCAGGGAAAUGCUAAAGGCUGGGAUCAUAAAACCAAGUCAAAGUCAAUACUCUUCACCAGUCCUCUUAGUGAGGAAGGCAGAUGGAAGUUGGCGAAUGUGCGUUGAUUAUCGAGCUCUCAACAAAGAUACCAUCAAAGAUAAGUUUCCCAUUCCUAAUAUAGAUGAAUUAUUAGAUGAGCUUAAUGGUGCUGAGAUGUUUUCUAAACUUGACUUGCGGUCGGGCUACCAUCAAAUCAGAAUGAAGACUGAAGAUGUGCCCAAAACUGCCUUUCGUACCCAUGAGGGGCAUUAUGAAUUUUUAGUAAUGCCCUUUGGGCUCACCAAUGCCCCAUCAACCUUUCAAGGAUUGAUGAAUGAGAUAUUCAGACCAUAUCUCAGGAAAUUUGUGCUAGUUUUUUUUGAUGACAUACUUGUGUACAGUAAAUCUGUUGAAGAACAUGUGGGGCAUCUAAGAGCUGUCUUAGAAGUCUUGAGACGACAUCAACUAUAUGCUAAGGCCUCAAAAUGUAUCUUUGGCUGUCGAGAAGUGGAGUACUUGGGCUAUGUUAUUUCCAAAGAAGGAGUCAAAGCAGAUCCAUUAAAGAUUUCAGCCAUGAUGGAGUGGCCUGAACCUAAAAAUCCUAAGGCUCUAAGAGGAUUUUUAGGGUUAACGGGUUAUUACAGGAAGUUUGUAAAAGGCUAUGGAAGUAUUGCAGCUCCUCUAACUGCCUUACUCAAGAAAAAUUCCUUUAAGUGGGGUGAGCAGGCCAGCCAAGCUUUUGCAGCCUUAAAGGCAGCCAUGGUGACUCCUCCUGUUCUUGCUUUACCAGAUUUUUCCAAAAUGUUCGUGGUAGAAUGUGAUGCUUCUGGAAUUGGAUUGGGAGCAGUCUUAAUGCAGGAAGGGAGGCCUCUAGCUUAUUUAAGCCAAGCAUUAAAAGGUAAAAAUUUGUUCUUAUCCACUUAUGAAAAAGAAUUUUUGGCUCUUGUGUUGGCAAUUCAGAAAUGGAGACAUUAUCUGCUGGGACACAUGUUUAAAGUGAGGACUGACCAGCAAGCUCUAAAGCACCUUUUGGAACAAAAGAUUGGAACUCCUUUUCAACAAAAGUGGAUAACAAAGCUAUUAGGCUUUGAUUUUAGUGUGGAAUAUCGUAGUGGGAAAGGAAAUAAAGCAGCGGAUGCUCUAUCCAGGUUACCGGACCAGGUGAAUAGUACAGAACCAGAAGGGGUGAUUACUAAUUGUGGAGAAGCCAAAGCCAUUAGUAUGGUUACUGUUAAUUGGUGGGAAGGGCUCCAUCAAGUAUACAACCAAGAUCCCCAGUUGCAACAGUUACUCAACCAACACCAUCAAGGUGAUCUUGAUCCCCUCAAGUAUCAGGUCAGAGGGGGGUUUUUAUUCUACAAAGGGAGGCUACAUUUGGGAAGCUUAAAGAUACAGCAGGAGCAAAUCAUGCAGCAAUUCCAUAGUAGCCCUAUGGGAGGGCAUACUGGUUCACAGAAGACUCACUCCAGACUUAAAAGGGAAUUCUUUUGGCAUGGCUUGAGAAAGGACAUCAGAAAAUUCAUUAGAGAAUGUGAGGUAUGUCAAAGAAACAAAACAGAGAACCUCAAACCAGCUGGGACUUUGCAGCCUCUGCCAAUACCAAGUAAAGUAUGGGUGGAUAUUAGUAUGGACUUCAUAGAGGGGUUACCAUUGUCUAAGGGAUACAGUGUAAUCAUGGUGAUAGUAGACAGGUUCAGCAAGUACAGUCAUUUCAUACCAAUGGCACAUCCAUAUACAGCAGCAACAGUAGCAAAGGCAUUUAUGGAAAACAUAUUCAAAUUACAUGGUAUACCACAAAGCAUAGUCAGUGAUCGAGAUGCAAUAUUCACAAGUAAUUUUUGGAAAGAAAUCUUCCAUUUAAGUGGAACCAAGCUGCUAAUGAGUUCGGCAUAUCAUCCUCAAACUGACGGGCAGACAGAGGUAAUGAACAAGUGGUUAGAAGGGUACCUCAGGUGCUUUACCAGCGAUAGACCCAAAGAUUGGGCCAGUUGGCUAUCCUAGCCGAGUGGACAUACAAUACUUCAGAGCACUCCUCCACGGGGUUUACUCCUUUUGAGAUUGUUUACGGACAAGAACCACCACGACUCCUUCCAUAUGAGCCUGGGACCACAGCAGUACAAGCAGUUGAAGAUGAAAUGAAAAGUCGAGAUUUUAUCCUUACCCUGGCACGAGAAAACCUGCAAGAAGCUCAAACAAGAAUGAAGUUAUACGCAGAUAAAAAGAGAACAGAGAGGGAAUAUAGUGUGGGGGAUUGGGUCUAUUUGAGGUUAAGACCUUACAGACAGAUGACUGUGGCAGUGAGAAGGAACUUGAAGCUUUCUCCAAGGUAUUUCGGGCCUUUCCAAGUCAUUCAAAAAAUUGGAAAAGUUGCAUACAAGCUCGAUCUACCCAAAGACUCCAAGAUUUAUCCAGUAUUCCAUAUCUCUGUCUCAAGAAGAAGAUUGGAACUCAAUUAAGCCCUAACCCUAAGCUGCCGACAGUAAUGGAAGAAGGUAUAUUGACCCCCGAACCAGAAAAAAUAUUGGAUAGAAGGCUCAAGAAAAAGGGAAAUCGAGCAGGAGUUGAUUUUUUAGUUCAAUGGAAGGGAGCUAACGAGGAAGAUGCCACCUGGAUGGAUGGAGACAAGCUGAGUAAGACAUAUCCUGAACUCGUGGGCGAGUUCUUCUGAAGGAGAAGGUUAUGUUACACGCCCAAAAUAUUUAAGUAAAAUGAGGCCACGUAAGCUAAGGAGUUACUUAAUUAUUAAAGGGCAUUUGUCUGUUAUGCUUAUUUUCAAUUCAGCUGUUACGUAAUUUAUUAUUUGAAACAAUGAGUCAGUUAUUUUCUAUUAAAUGCUAAUUAAGAGAGUCAGUUAUUUACUAUUUAUUACAAGUCUGUAAAAUGCCUAUAAAAGGCAAGAGUAUUAGAAAUAAAAGAUAUCCUUUGAACUUUUAAUUGUGCCGUGUGCAUCUGUGGAGGUUUUCCUGGCUCCUCAAAUUGCCAGAAUUCAUUUAUAAUUCUUGGGGCCUAACAGAAUGUAUCUAAAAGAGAACUCGCAGACAAGAAAAAAAGAAAGCACUGAGCUUGAUCAUGACAAUAUGAACCAAUAAGGCUGAAAAAUAAAACCGAUAAAUCUUUUUCAUUGACAUCAAAUUGGUUAAUCUCAAAAACGUGAAUUUAUCACUACAUUAAGCCAAAACAAACCUUAGUUUUUACUGUUUUUUUAGCCUGGAAAUGAUUAGCCUACCUCCCCCCUCCUGCUGUUCAAUCUAUCAAUAAUAUAUCUCCAGAUAUUUUGUAUAAUUGAGAGAGAGAAAAGUGGAUAUGUAUUGGACAAGACUGGUACGUUUUGCAAGCCAAUUGGAGCUUAAUGCGUGUGUUGUUGCAAUAAAAACUGCACCAACAGUGGAACCGACAAUGACAGGCAAGAUUAUAUCGAAAGGAAGACAAAAAAGCGACGUGUCGUUUAUGUUUGUUAUUUUCCAAGUUAAGGCUUUAGCAUUUUAAAACGGCAGCACAUCGCAAGACAAAGGCCAAGCGUGAAGAAACGAGCAGUAGCGAUAAGGUAAUCGCAGAAAAAACAUAGAGUAAAAGGUAGCAUUUGUUUACUCUACAAGAUGGAAGAAAUAGAAAUAAUAGACAAAAGAAAAAUAAGAUAAAAUUAAUUGUGCUCGGUAAUAAAGUAUUAAAUAAAAUAAUUAUUUUUAUAUCUCAUUUGGUUAUAGUUAUUAUAUAUAUAUAAAAAAAAUUGUUCUUUACAUAUAUUAUUAUUAAACUUAUAUAUUUACAAAAAAAAUGAUAUUAUUUUUUUUUACUUUAGUUUAUAUUGAGUUUUAAAAUUAAUAAUAUUAUAAUAAUUUUAGUUAUAUAACUGAAACUAACUUAAUGGGUUGACUUGAGACUUAGAUUGAUUCAAGUUUAAGAAAAAAUAAAAAAAGAAUUGACUCGACCUGAUUCGGUCAAAAACUUAGGUUAACUCAAGAUAAAACACGAGUCAAAAACUCAUUGAUAUUUUUAAAAAAUAAAUUUAAAUUUUUUUUAAGUCAGUCGAGGUGACCCUCUCGACCCGUAACUUGAAUCUUGUCUCUAGUCGACUUCUAAGUCUAGUUUUAAAACUAUUAUAAUAACCACUUAUAUAUAUACAAUGACUCGGGUUAACUUGUGUUGACUCUCUCGACUUGUAUCAUGGAUCUUACCUUGGAUUUGACCCCUAUAUUAAGUUUUUAAAUUAUAAUAACAAUCAUUAUUAUUUUAUGUUGAUCCAAGUCAAUCUAGGUCGACUCUUCUGGCACGUGACCUAGGCCUUACCCCGUGUCGAUCCUCGAAUCGAGUUUUAAAAUUAUGAUGAUAACCAUUUUGUUCUUAUGUUGACCCAAAUCAAAGUCAAUUCCACUCGUGAUUUCGGCUUUGCUUUAGAUCGACCAUUAAAUUAGGUUUAUAAACUAUGAUAAUAAUUAUUUUUAUUUUUAUGUUGACUCGGGUCAACCUAACAUAUGACUCAGGCCUCGACUAGUGACUCGGACCUUGCUUUGAAGCAACUUUUGAAGAUUGAGAGUUUUUUACAGAGAUAUUUUAGGAACAAAAAUAAUAAAUAUUAUCUUUAAAGAUUGUACAUUUAUAGCUGUUGUUUUGAAAAUACAUAAAUUCAUUUUAAAAUUGCUGGUAAACAAUUUAUUUUUAUGUUUUUGUAUUUUUUUAAAACCAAAUAUAUUUCUGUCUUUACUGUGUCUUCGUCACUUCUAUCUUAGUAGAAUAACCAAACAUUAUCAGAUAACCAAACAUUAUCAGAUAGCCUUAGCUCGGCGACUAGAAGCAAUAUUCGAGUAGCUCUCAGGCAUUGGAGUCCAGAAACUACCGCAUCUAGCUAGGAAACAGCGUCUCUUUCUCAUCCAUAACGAGUUCCAUCUGUUAAACUGCUGGGCCCGAAUCAAAAGACUUUUUUUUUUAAUGGAGCACCCGUAGCAUAUGUCCUCUCAGUUGGAUCGACGACAUAGAAGAGCUAUUGACUGACACUAGCUUCGGUAUUAUCCUGAAAUAGAAAAGAUAAAAAAUAAUAUUUAUUAUAUUUUUAAAACUCAACUCAGUGAUUAUUCGAGGUAUGACCCGGGUCCCGAGUCAUUUUCAGGUUGCUGUGAUCAUCCAAACUUUCGAAGACCAUAGUUUUAUGCUAAUUACUCCGUCUAUCUGCAAUCUGUCUGUCUGUCUGUGUAUUUUACAAUGUCCUUGGUUGCUCUGCUAUCUUUUUUAUCAGUUUUCUAAAACAAACCAUCUGUGUGUCUUCGUUUCUUUUCGUCUGCAAACCCUACCCUUCGAUUAUUACUCUGUUAAUGUUAACUCCUACCACUACUGUUUUGUUCUUGCCGGUCUUCUUCAAGGGGAGAAUUGAGUACUGUGCUGCUAAUUUUCAUUCCUCGAAUAAAUAUCGUCGCCCGCCUGUGUCUUUUGCAAUCUUUUUGAACAUAUAUUCAUUGUUUGGGUGGCAAGGCAUCUGAUCAUCUGCUCUCCCUGUCUGUGAAUAUGAUGAAAUCUUUGACAUUUAAUUUAUGGAUUGAAUGAAAGAGAAAUAGUUCAGAUGGACUUGAAAUUAUAUAUGGGCUGGAUCUCUUGAAGCAAGCGUGCUUUGAGAAUAGAUCCUGCAUUUUUUCCUUGUACAAUUCGAGGUUUGAAUAAGGGCUGUUGGAUUAUGCAUCCUCCAGACACCAGACAGAGGUCCUGGACUACACGCCAUGGAUAUAUUUCUUCAUGAUCAUGCGUGUGUAGGGGAAGCAUUGCGUCACAGCUACUUGCAAGGGCAUCUGGAAAAAGAAAGCUAGAAGCAAAGAUCUAAGCGUUGCUUUCUUUAGUUAUAAACCAAUUUUCUCUCCAUUUUCUAUUAUUGAUUUGAAUUAAUAAAAAAAUUAAAAAGAUUCAUUAAUUAAUUUAAUGUUUUUUAAAAUAAAACAUAUAUUUAAAAACAAAAGCUACCACACGCCGUUACUUUACGAAAAGCUCUAUGGUAGGGUUUCCGGAAGCUUUCGUAUGCAAUUACAUCAUACUGAAUCUUCCAUGAUGUUGGACUCCAUCGAUCUGGAGAAAUCUCCAUGGAAUCAGAUGCAGAUUUCUAGUCGUAAUCAUACUCUCGACAACAUUAGCACUCAAGGCAUGCAGCUGGGUAAGCGUGAUGGAAAGUGGUAGAUAUUGGCCAGGAAUCUUUCAUUUGGUCUUGUUUAUGGAAAGAUGAGACUACACCGACGAGCCAGUGGAUGCAUGAUUUCUAGCAGUGCCUGUCAUUUUCUUCGAAAUGCAAUGCUCUUCCACUCAGCUGUCACUGCAAAUCAAAUGCAUUCCUAUAAAGAGGUCCACUCUGUAUUGUUUUUCACACCCAUAAAAGCACAGCUUUUUUAUUUUUUUGAGGCUCUUUUCCUUGCACAUCAAGAAACUUCAGUCGCUUUAUGUCACGCGAACAAUUUGCAGCCCUCUGUGCUGGAUUUUAUGCACCUAAUUUGAUUCUUGCUGUGUGAUUAUUAAUUUUUCAUUUUUUUUUUAUUUUCCAAUGCAUUAUUGUGAAGUGUGAGCCCAUCUCCAUCAACCAUGUUGAUUAGUAGUGUGAAAGAACAGAUGAUUGAAGGUUGGCUCUAGGUCGCCCAAGCUAAUUUCUGUGUAGUUUUCACUUCUUGCAAGGUCAAGUUGCACCAUCAUUUUGCCUUUUCAAGAAUAUUAUUUUGUUUUUAUUGUUCUAUAAUUACUUUUUUUUUUAUAACAUGAAUAUCCGGGCCAGUUUGCGCAUACCUCGACUAAUCCCACGGGCUCUGAAGUUAACAACCAUCUAAGUUUCCAGAGUGAUCAUCAUAUUAGUAAUCACAUGACUCGAACUUAAGACCACGGGGAGAGCAAGACCUUUGCUCCCAAGCUCUUGUUACUGGGCCACCUACUAGAUGGUUGUUCUACAAUUAUUUAAUACAUCUAGUUGUGCCGCAAACUCACAUUAAACAAUGAAAGUGAUGACUUUUUUUAAUUUUAUUUUUUAAUAUUUACAAAUAAUUUAAAAUUUAUUUUUGUAAAUUAUUAGUUUACUUUUUAUAAAGUUAUCUUAGUAUUAAACAAUUAUCAUUCUAUUUAAUUGAUACUUAAUUUUACAAGCAUUUAUAUUUGUUAUUUUAUAACUAAGAAAAAAAUCAUUUUAAAAAACAAAGUUUUUUUUAACAUAAUAGAGUCCAUAACCUAGAUUGUGAAUUUAACAGAUUGAAUCGUGAAGUUUAGAUCAAUCUAAUAUGUAACUGUCUUAAUUUUAUUUUUUUAAAUCAUGUUAAAUUUUUCUUUAAGUCAAACCAUGUUUUUUACCAAUCAUCUAGAUUGUUUUAAGACCUGUUAAGUUGACUAGUUUAUAUUAGAUUAAUUUUUAUAUAGUUUAGUUUCAAACUCAAAUUAUAUAAAAAAUCAAACAAAAAAAUUUAAAAUUAACUAAUUAAACCGAGUUUAAUAACAAAUAAUAAUUGUUUUUGUAUGUUCUGAAUAUUUAUUUUACGUCGAAGGAAUCCUGACUCGAGAGCAUGAUGGUGUAAACUAGCCUCUGAGAUGUGGCAAUUUCCAUAGAGAAGAACUGCUUGAUGAAAUUAUUAUGCCACAUUAAACCUCACAUACCUAAUUUUAAGCCUAAUUCAUCUUGUUUGGUUACAUCAAAGCUGGCUUCCCUUUUUCCAGAAAUUUCUUGCGGACUGAGAAAUUGAGUAUGGAUUGCAUUUUGGAUCUUUUUCCCACAUCAUCUAGUCUUCAGAUACAAUUCUUAUCCUUUUGACCUAACACAAAAAUUAAUUAAAGGGUUUGAUCUCCCCAUCACUACACCAUCAACUCUUGCCCAUUAUUUUAGGACAAAAUAUGGAACCUAAUAAACACCAAGGAAAAGAUGGAUGCUACAAGGAUUUGUUACCACACAUAAAACUGGAAAACCUCAUCAUCUAGGGUUCAAGAUCAUUAAAAUAAGUUGAAUAGCAACUACUCCUAGCUGGACUUUAAUGGCAGCCAUCCAUAUCAUGGAAACAAUGUCAUUUUCUAAUGGCCGUGUUUUAAGAUUCUGUCUUGGUAAUUUCGACAGUGUAAACGGCUCAGAUUGGUGCAGAGGCAAGUUGAUACUCAUUUGCUCAUUACCUAGCAUGUGAAUUUGAAUGCUUGCAGCAAGGCAAAGAACCAUUCAAGUCUCUUUCAAGCUUUGAUGUACAAGAACUUUGCUGAGCUCAUGAAAGCUCUAUUUGAUUACAGUUUGCUUUCACAGUUUACAUCCAAAUCAACAUGCUUGUCCCUUUGAGGGUAAGAGAAGAAUCAAAGAAGAAUGACUUCAACUUUUCAGGUUGUAGUGAAGCAGCAGGGAAGAUCUAAUUAAAUCUGUCGCAGGACAUUACCAUUCGAUAAUUCUAUGAACAGUUUUCUUUUUGUAAUACAGCAUGAAUUACUUUGUAUUAACGAGUAAUUUGCUUUUGAUUACAUAUUUACAUUACAUCUAAAUUUUAUUUUUAACUUUCUUUAUUUGUAGAGAUUGUUGUCAGCUUGUCAUUGAAAGCUUUGAACUUCACUUCAAAAUAUAGCAGCUUUAAGCCUUCUCUUCAACUCCUUCCUGCAGAAAAAACAAAAAUGAAUUGACUCUUGGGACCUUUUUCCAAAACCCUCCUCUGGUUUUAGAUUCUUGAGUCUGUGUUAAAGUUGGUUUACCUCGUGAGUUCCCUAUCAAUGCUUGAAGCAGAUAACAGUCCCCUAUUCUCUUCAGCCCUCCUUAGAAGGUAAGGGAUAACCAUCUCAACAGGCCCGUAUGGCGUGCAUUUGCUAACUAGAAAACCUGCAUUGCGUAGACCAAAUGAAAGCGCAUCUGACAUUCCAUAUAGCUGUGCAAACUCAAGCUUCUGGUUCCUCUUCUCAAUCCCCAAGUCUAUUGCCUUCGUCGCUGCCAAUCUUCCUAUACAAUGUACAUAGAACCCUGUAUCAAAUCCAAAGGCUAUUACGAUAGCUAUAAUUAAUCACAUAUGAGUCUCCUUCAUCUCUUUACCUGAUUCAACAUUAUGUGUUGCAAGGAUGACUGCAUUUGAGCUAUUAGCGAUCUUUUCAAGCAUGAAAGAAGCACAAUCAUUGUAGGAAGCAUGUGUCUCUUGAAUACUAUUGUGAAUUGGAGAUUCAUAGCCUAACGAAGAGGCUAUUUUUCUUUCACUUGACAUAUAAGCGCCCCUCACUAACUUAAUCCCCAUAGGAACUCCCAUCUUGUCAGCGGCUUUUGUUGCAAGGAACAACCUCUCUUUUGCGUCUUUCAAGUAGGCUUGAAUUGUACCAUACACAAUGGGAUUAUCAUUUUUGUUGUACUUGAUUGCUGUCAAAUACGUCAAGUAAUCAAUGGCAGGUUGAACUGAUAUAUGCUCUGCAUUCACCGUCAACGGGAUAUUGGCCUGGACACAUUUUUCACACAGUUUCCACAAUCUCUCCUGGCCUAAUUGGAGAUCAUUCUCUUCUUGUGGGGUUAAUGGUUCUGGUUUUUUAAGUGUAUGAUACAAAGGGCUAGAAUCAGAAAAAAUUGGAAAACAUUUCUGUUUCCAUGGAAGGUUGAAGGAAGGAUCUCUUUGUUGCCACCUUAACACAUCACUAACUCUCUCUAACAAGCUUAAGGGGCACAUUGCUGUGAUCUUUGCCACCACACUGCUCACCUGAUGCAAGUAAAAAAAAAAAUUAGCCUACAAUAUUUGAGCUGGUUUCUUUCUGCCAAUAUCAAAGAAAGACAAAACAAACUUGAUAAGAUCCGCGAAAGCUUGCCCGAGGACACCCCGCCCCUAAAACCAAAAGAAAGAAGUGUUCUUGUAGCCAGUGUGUUCAAUUUCUGAUGGGAUACCUCAACCAUGAAAAGGACAGUCCUUGUUUCUCAUUCUGUCACUUUCUAUGAUGCAUAUAUUGCAAACUCUUAUGGUCAAUGGUGUACAAUAUGACCAGGUGGAGUCCAAUUGCACACGACUGCUUGCACAUGAUCAACUUGAUCAACGAUUCUACUCGCAUCCUAAGCUGUAAAACUAACAUAUACAGCAGGAUCCAUAUCUAAUUUCUAAAGCAAAUUUCAAGAGAAACAAAACAGAGACCCGAGAUACUUGAAAACAAAUGAAAGAAAGAGCAAAAUUAACUUGAUAGACAAAAUAAAAAUAAAAAUGGGGCUAAUUAUGGCUAAUUGAGGAAGAUGUAAAUCUUACAGAAGAUGGAGGAAGAGACAUGGCAGAUUGAACAGAAUCAAGAAACCCUUUCAGAUUCUGAUCACAAGCAUCAUUAUUACUUGUAUAUUCAACAGCAAAAGCCAACAUUACUCUCAAACCGGCUUCAUUAACUCUCUCAACACACCUUCUGGCCUCAACAACAUCUUCUCCAGCACAAAAGUGUUUAAAGAACGUAUGCCUUACCGUCUUUAACACAACAUCACGUACAAUAUUAUCUGUCUCCAUAAUCCUAGAAUUCAUAACCCACAUCCCAAAGUCAACCAGAGGACCUAUAGAAACCAAGUGAAGAUUUGAAGAUGCAUGCAAGAGUUUGGUGGUUGGCAAAUUUGAGAAAAGUUUUCGAUCGUCAUUAAAAUCUAGGAUGGAUGGUUUUGCAUGAUCUUGAAUGAUAGUGGGAGGUUCUUGGAUAGGGGGUUCGGGUUUUUCAGCCAAAUUUAGAGGAGAGACGGCGGCGGAGGCUUUAGAGGAGGAGGAGGAGGUGUUAAGAGACCUUGUGAUGAAGAAACGGAGGUUUUGGAGUUGUUUUGGUGGGAGAACUUUGGUGGCCAUGGAAGGUGGAAGAGAUUCAGGCUUUCUGUUUUCCAAGUCUUGGGAUACGGAGGUUUAUAUAGGAAUUGUAUUUUUACUGCAAUUUAUGACUUUAUAAAAAAGGUGAAAAUUGAUUUAAAAAAUAAAUAUUUCCAGUUUUUUGUUUCAACAAAUAUUUUUACUGCAAGAGUCAUAUUGGUAGAUCUAUAAUCUUAAGUUUUACAGAUAUUAUUUUUUAAAUUAAGAAAUAAUUUGAUUUUAUUAUGUUGUGUUGGAUAUUAGAUUUAUUUAUUAGUAUUUCUUCCUUGAUUUGAUUAUUUUGAGUGCCAUCAUUUUUGUUUUCUUUUUACUAUAUUAUUUAAAGUUAACCAAAAUAGAUCAAUUUUUUUAAUUUUAUAAAAAAAUAAUAUUAUUUAAAAAACACAAAGAAAAAUAACUAGUUAUUUUUCAAAAUCACCUUCUUUUUUUGUGUGUUUUAUUUGUUAUUUUUUUAAAAUUAAAUUUUGUAUUUUUUUAUUAAGUUAUCUCGCUAAUAUGAUUUCAUUCUCAAGUUUAGACGAUCUUGUCUAAAUUUGUUAAUAUAUAUUUUUUAAAUUUAUUUUUGUUUAGUUUUAUUUUUUUAAAUUUAUUCUUUUAUAAAAAUUGAUAAUCAUUUUUUUUUAAUCCAAUAAUAUUAAAUCAUAUUUUUAAAAAUAUAUAUAUAUAUAUUAAUAACGCUUCAACAUCACUUUAAUUUUAUAAAAAAAUUCAAUCAAACCCGUGAUGAAUAGAAGGCCACCCAUCUCGUGCUCGUCUAUAGAUCCAUAGACGGGACAAAAAUAUUGGCGAACUAUAAAAGGUAAAGGCAGGGAUUAGAUAUACUUAUUCGUAAUUUCCGAUCCUCUUGGACGUGUCUUGUUUCGGUAUAUUUGGAAUUAUGGUUAAUUGUUUAAAGUAUUUUUUAUUUUAAAAUUAUUUUAUUUUUAAAAAAUUAUUUUAACAUUAAAACGAUUUAAAAAUAUAUAAAAAAUAAAUUUUAUUUUAAAUAAAAAAAUUUAAAAUUUUUAAAAAGUGUUCCAAACACACCGUAAUACUAACAAGGCCAUGAUGUGUAUGCUCAUAGUCUACCAAAAUAAUAAUAAUACUAAUAAUAAAUGGUGUAAUUUAAUUGGUCAAGUCCUGAGUUUGUUUUUUAGAGGUCAACAGUUCAAGUCUUACAAAUCUCAAGGCUAUUGGAGGCUUACAUAGUCAUUAACUUUAAGAAUUAUAGGAUUAAUCGAGAUGCGCACAGGUUAGCCCGAAAAUCUAUAUUAAUUUAAAAAAACCACUGCUGUGAAAUAUUAAAAGAGAACAUAUCAUCUCGGUUUACUUUGUCAUUUCAAGUUUAUGAUGUGUAUUAAGAGUUUGGCGUAUUAAUAUGAUUGAUUCAUAUUUUUUUUAAUUAAUAAUUUUUUAAAAAAAUUAUUUUUUAAUCACAUCAAACAUGGUAUAUUUGGAAGAUUUUUUUAUUUUAAAAAAAUGGUGCCAAAUGAGAUGUUGUAGAGGGUUGAAGAAAGCUUUUGCAAAAAAACAAUUUCGAAGUCCGCACAAACUUUGAAUAUUAAAAAUUAAUAAGAUGAUCAUUAAAAUCUUAUAUAAUUAUUAAUUUUAAAAUAUAUAAAAUUAGUUAAAAAAUAAAUAAACUAAUCAAAAUAAUCACAUUAAUAAUAAAAAUAAUAAAUAUUUCCGCGGAGCAAGUGAGGAAUCACAGAAAAACGUGCAUACGCACAGGGUGGGAGAGGCAGAGACCAUGAUGAUUCCGUCCCUACCAGGAAAGCUCAAUUGAGCUGCCAAUUAUUUUAAACACCGAAGAAACAUAAAAUUGGAUACUUUCUCUUCAAUGGUUAAUUGUUUUGGAGGUGAAAAUGGAAGGAUGCAGGGGAAAUCAUGCUUGUAAAUUUUUAAAGGGAUAAUUUCAUCGAGAAAAAAUCUUGAAAGGAGUGCAUCUUCAAGUGAAAUAAAUCGUAGCGGGAAUUUAUCAAGAGAUGAAAAUUUUUAAUAAAAAAAUAUCUUUAAAUGAUGUAAAAAUUUUAAUAAUUAUUAUUAUAUUUUUGAAUUUAGAUGAAAAGAAACACAAUACUCAAAAUCAGUUUGGUAUUUAAAGUAUGAAUAUAAACUUUUUAAACUAUGUUAAAAAUUGAAUUUGCAAAUUAUCUUUUUUGUCUAUCUAUUUUAAGUAUUUUAUAAUAUUAUUGGUUAUUGUAUUUUAUUGAAUUAAAUUAUAUUGUUUACUAAUAUUAGCUAAACAUCUAAUUUAACCCCUAAGUGUUAUGAUUUUCUUAGUCAUAUAAUAACAAGCCAAUGUUGAUAGCCUUUCUUUAUAAUCGUUUCAAAAUCAGAAUUUUGAUAUAUCUUUCAUGUUUUAUUUUUUAUUUUUUAAAUUUUUAGGUUUUAUUUUUUUUUUCUCUCUCUUAUUUAAAGUUUAUGCCGACCCAUUUCUUUUUUUUGAUAUGCUUGUUUUUUCUCCUUGGAUUUGCAUCCUUUUAUACACAUUUUAUGAAAGAAAAAAAAAAAUAGGCAGAGGGAUCCUAGUUGUUUAGCCCAACCCUCGUUGGUCAUUUAGAGGGUGUUUGAGAGUGCUUUUUAAAAGUGCUUCUGAAAAAAUUAAAAAAAAUUUUUUUUUGCUUUAAAUUAAUAUGUUUUUGAUGUUUUCAAAUCAUUUUGAUGUGCUGAUCUCAAAAAUAAUUUUUAAAAAAAUAAAAAAACAUUAUUAACAUGCUUUUCUAAAUGAAAAACACUUUAAAAAGCAACAACAACCACAUUCCCAAACACGCACAUAGUUUUAUUUUUGGAAUUUCUUGUAUGUGGUAAAUAUAAACUAUAGUAUUUUGAUCAUGCAUGAAUUCAAAUAAAUAAAUAAAUAUACAAUUCUAGGUAUGAAAGUCCAAAAUUCCACCACCAAUCUUGAUAUAAAAAAUACAAGCUUGAUCAAUGUACAUAAAAUACAGUCAACUUUCUUAUAUCAAACUAGAAAAUUCUAAAAAUAUAAAAUAUAAUUAAUUAAUUAUGAUAUAAUCCAUAAAAAAACAUGAUUAUAAAAUUAAAGAUGUAUAUAAAAUAACUAAUAAAAUUCUAUUAAUUAUUUUUUAAAUUUAAUUCUUUUUAAAAAUAAAAAGUUGUAUAGUGAAACCAAGGGCUAACACUACACGCGCCUUGGCCUGUUAUUCAUUCUUUCAUCAGCUAGUAACCUUCUUACCCUCAUGUGGUCACGCUAAACAAAAUAAAUAAAUAAAUGCUAUUUGGAUUCAAAAUCUAAGCGCAGCCAUUGAGAUUGGACGAGACAAAUGUGAGAGCAGAGCAUGAAUAUCCAGAUAACCAACCACACCCCUCAAGUGAGUUAAUUUACCAAACAUCAUAAGAGUUAAACGUAAAUACACAAACUUAUUAUUUAUUUAAAUCUAUUUGCCUGGAAUUUUGAUCUCUAAAAUGUUUUUCUUUAUAUAAUAUAUAUUUUUAUUUUUAUUUUUAAUAUUAAUAUAUAAAAAAUUUAAAAAUAUUAAAAAUAUAUUAAUUUAAAACAAAUAUUUUUUAAAUUUUUUUUUUUAAAACAUUUUUAAAAUACAAAAGAAACAGUAUUUAGUCUUAGCCCUCCAAAGCCAGAGCAAGAACACAGCAAAAAGGUGACACUGACGCUGAUAUUCAUCUUUUAAAGAUUCUCCUUUGUUAAACAAUCAAAGCCCUACUCGUCAGUGGAUUCAUUAGAGACCAAAUAAACUAAAUUGAAAUCACCAUUGAAGCUUCUUCUUGUUUUUUUGGUCUUUUGAGGUAAGAGUUCUAUAAUCAUACUGCCAUUAAUUAGUCGUUAAUUAUUUAGUUUCUAUUGUUUUAUUCCUUAAUUAAUAUGAGAUUGUUAAUUUCUUAAGAUUUCAUUGGAGAAUCAUUGAAAGUAAAGUUUUUUUUGGUUAGUAUGACCGGAGGAAUUGAAGCACUUGAUUUUUGCUUUCUUUUUGUUGUUGUUGAUUAAUUCUUUAUUGGGAUGUCUUUGAUGGAUUUUAGAAUGUUUUCGUGGUUUUUUUGCUGUGUUUUAGCUAUAAUGUGAGAAACCCAUUUUGUGUUUUGCUCUUAAUUUGAAGAAAUCAGUCUCUGCGACAGUGAGAUUAUUAUGGAUUUUCAAUUUAGAAAGCAACUUGAUUGAAUUAGAUAUGUAUAUCACCAAUGUUCACUACUUUAAUGAUUUACUUGUUGAAGUCACUGGCUUUUUGAGUUUAUGAUAAUUCUAAUCACUGUGUGGUUUACCACUGAAUUGCACGCCAUAACUGAAAUCAGUACAUUUUAAGGAACAUGAGUUCAAAGCAGUUUGUUUUGAUUUAUGAUGUAGCUUUAAAUUGUCUUCUGACUCAGCUCGGAAACUCUUUACUUUGAAUUAGCCUAUAAUUAAAAUUUUAAUUUCAUGUUGUUUUGCACAGCUACUUGUAAUUUAACUAGGAGGCAGAAUUAGACGUAACAUAUAGAAGCAUGGUUACUGCCCAGCAACAAAAGAGGAGAGUGGCAUUUAUCCUGAUUGAUGGAUUGGGUGAUGUAUCAUUGCCAAGGCUCGGAUACAAGACUCCUUUGCAAGCGGCGAACGUGCCUAACUUAGAUGCUAUUGCAUCUGCUGGAGUUAAUGGCCUUAUGGACCCUGUUGAAGUAGGCUUGGGUUGUGGAAGUGACACUGCUCACCUUUCUUUAUUAGGUUAUGACCCACAAGUGUACUACAAGGGUCGAGGAGCCUUUGAGUCCAUGGGUGCUGGAUUGGCAAUGUCUCCUGGCGAUAUUGCAUUCAAAGUGAGUAUACAUCUUUGCUUACUUCAACCACUUUUCAAGAUUUAUUUUAUUUUGGUCUUGCCCCUUGGAUGUGUACUACCUUGUUCUUGUAUUAAGCAUGUGGGAUGUUGUCGUAGUAAAUAGAAUUAUUAUAUUCCAUACUUAAAGAAUGAACUUUGUCAUUUACUCACGAACCUUUACUCACUACAUACACAACUGAACAAAGAAACUAUAUUUUUUAUACCCUAGAAACAGGGAUGGAAAGAUUUGUCUUUAUCAAGAGAAAUUGUACAUGAUUACAAUAUAUGUGCUUAGAUCUUGAAUUUAAUCCCAUGUGCUUCUUCCUUUUUUCUUGUGAUGCUUUUUUAACUCAGAGAAGAACAUUCUUGAAGUAUCUUGCCAUUGUUUUUUAUUUAUUAAUGGGAUUAUGCUCUCCACAUUAAAACUCUUCUGCCUGUCAGAGAGUGAGAACAUUUAAAACUUUUGUUACUCACUUUCAUGGCCUUAACGUGAAUCUCUUUCCCCCAAUAGACCCUUAUGUUUUACCUAUAUAUUAAUACAGAGGGUUGUGUGAACUUGGAGGGUAGAAAAAGCCCUGCAGUCUGUGAAGUAGACAAUUUUCCAGCUCUAACAUAGCUCAAUAGUUUUUUCCUUUCCAUCCCUUUCUAAUUUUUUUAUUCAUAUUUUAUGCUUCCAGUUACAUUUUUUGCGCACUACAUUUUAACAUUGGAGAAACUACAAUUUGUUGUUGUUGGUUUUCCCAUUUAAUGCCAUUUCUGUUUGCUUUUUAUCUGCAGUCAAAUUUUGCAACAUUAGAUGAGGAAACUGGAAUAGUCACCAGUAGAAGGGCUGACAGGCAUUUUGAUGAAGAAGGGCCAAUUCUCUGUGCAGCUCUGGAUGGAAUGAAAUUGCCGUCUUUCCCGGAAUAUGAAGUCAGAGUCAGGUGCAGAUUCUUUGUAUAUGCAGUAACUUCUUGACUAAUCAAGACAACAAGAAUGCACUCAAAUAAACUGGAUAUUCUAAAAAAUUUAACUGAACCCCUUCUUUUUUUUGCAGUCACCCUUCUUUAUCUGAAAUUUUAUUGACCUUCAAAUAAACUGACUAGACAAACUUGCUUAGACUAGGUUAUUCACAAACUCUUUGCAAGCUUCUUCACGUCAAUGAACAAUUUGAGUUAAUCUUGCUCUUGCUGGCUGCAAACAAGCUCAAAAAAUAAAACUCACAUACUGAUGUGAAGGAGCUCUUACCAAGUUUUUUUUUAGGUGUUUGAGAAUGGCUUAAUUCAAUUUGUUGCUUUAGAAAAUUGCAUCAACGAUCUGCUUGUUUAAAAGUUUGAUUGGAACCUUCAAGUUUCAAAUUUUCUUAUGUAUAUGCUAAUUACCCUUUUCUGUUAUUAUUGUCUGGUUAUUUGGGGGUGUUUGUUUCUUCUAUAUUGGUAACAUCUAAAUGACUUUAAGAUAAGGUUAAAGGAGAAAAAAAACAUGCCUAACUUAGCAAGUUCAACAUGGUAAUGUGCUUGGCCAGCUGUCUUUUUUCACUAUACCACUCCAAUUAUCCAGUAUAAACCCAUGUAAAUUCUCUGAAACCUAUAAUAUGAAAUAUUUUUUGCCUGUGGUUGAUGAAGUUCAAGGUUCUAACACAAGAUGGAAAUAUGACAAGAAACCACUUCCUACAGGUAUGCCACAGAACAUAGAUGUGGAGUGGUAGUGAAAGGACCAAGACUGAGUUGUAAUAUAUCAGGAACAGAUCCACUGAAGGACAACCGCUUACUUCUUCAAGCUGAAGCCUUAGAUGACACAGAUGAGGCAAGACAUACAGCUGCAGUUGUUAAUGAGUUAUCCAGGGAGUUAUCUCGUAUUCUGGUUUCUCACCCAUUAAACGCAAAACGAGCAGCAGAAGGAAAGAAUAUUGCUAAUGUUGUCCUUUUACGAGGAUGUGGCAUUCGAAUUGAGGUGCGUUGUCUCAAUCCUUCAAUGAAUCAUGGCCAUUUUUUCCAGAUAAGGCAGUGAGAAAUCUAGGAAACUAAAUCUCAAUUUCUUAUUCAUUUUAGUCAUCAGGAGAUGGGAAUUGCUUUAUCAAUUGAAAAUCCUCAUUGAUACUGUUCCCUUGAGGUUUACUUUUUAGAUGAACAAUAACUGAGCCAACAUGAGAAACUUCUAGAUUAUUCAAGUAUUGAUUUGGUCCUGGGCUUGGUUGGGUGGUCUGGCUUUUCGUUGUGAAUGUCUCAUUGUUUGGAUGAAAAAUUGUAUGGGAGGUAAAAUUUCACAUCUAGCAACACUAAACAUUACUGGUGGCAUGAGAGGGGCAGGACUGUUGCAUUCUGCUGCCAUGUCUGUGCAAUAAUUAAGGUUGCAACAAAAAAUUGAUGGAUUUUAAUGUUCUUAUUUGAAGAUUAUUGGGUAUAAAAGGAACAAAGAAUCUGAAAUUUUCAAUGAAGAGUUGUAUCAUAUGAGAUGUUUUAUAUAUAAUAUUUUUAUGCUGUACAGAUUUGAGUUUAUUUCUUAUUAUUAUUGUGCAGGUUCCUUCUUUUGAAAAUAAACAUGGUUUAUGGCCAUGCAUGGUAGCUCCCACUAAAAUCAUAGCUGGUUUAGGGCUAUCAUUAGAUAUUGAUAUCCUAGAAGCUCCUGGAGCAACUGGAGAUUAUCAAACACUUUUGACUUCCAAAGCAACAGCCAUAGCUAAGGCACUCUCAGCUCCAUUGGCGCCUUCUCCCAAUGUAUUUGUACCAGGGGAGGACGAGCACAAACCAGGACGACCAGAUGGCUAUGAUUUUGGGUUUCUCCACAUUAAGGUCUUAACCUUCUCAGUCUGUGUAUUAUCUUUAUCUUUUUGCCAUUUUCACAUCAACUGCACAAUUAAAACAAUGCUGCCUUUUGUAGCAGAAUGAGAUUUUUUAUUGUAUAGCCUCGUUCAUUCUUUUCUGUUCUUCAAUUAAAACUUUCAUAUUAAUCAUUGUUAGACAGAAAAUACUAUCAGGAGCUUGCUAGCAUUUUAGGCAGAAAUUGUAAAUUAUGAUGUCCAGUCCCUGACCAAGGACUUUCUUGGAGAUGGAUCCUUUCCAGGAUUCAAUGCCCCCAAAAACGAUCGAGACUGAUUGAGCUUAGACUGUAAGAGUUCAGGACAUAUUCAGCAUUUUGUUUGGAAAAAUAGCUCAUUUUAUUUCUUGACAAGGCUAAAUUGAUGGCUCUAAAAAUCAUUUUAUUGUUUGGAGGCUUCUUUUUUUCUCCCUAAUUGCUUCACCAGUUUAUUUUGUUCCCUUGUGACUUAUCUGGUCUAGAUAGAAAAUUGUUUGAAAGGUUGAAUGCCUGACCUCUAUGCUUAGAUUACAAGGUCUCAAUGUCUUAUUGGUGAUUGAUUUACUUGAUUUUUGGUAUUUCAGGCAAUAGAUGAUGCAGGCCAUGACAAGGCAAGCAUUUUGAAAGUUAAAGCAUUGGAAGCUGUGGAUCGAGCUAUAGGCCAGCUGGCCAAGCUCCUCUUGCAGGCAGAAUUAACUGGAAAGUUCCAGUACUUCCUUUGUGUCACUGGAGAUCACUCUACACCAGUUGAAUAUGGUGACCAUAGUUUUGAACCAGUUCCAUUUUCCAUGUGCCGGUUGAGAGAUUUUGUGGGUGCGGUAGGUGGAGAGUCUAUCAUCAUGGAAACUUCCCUUGAUCCAUUUCCUCUUCCAGUUGUUAAGGCUGGUGAAAACCUAGUGGAAACUGAGAACGCAGAAAAGGAGAGGAGCAGCAAACAGCUUAAAACUUUCAGUGGUGAUUCAGUUUGUGAACUUAGUGAGAUAGCCGCAGCAAGAGGAUGCCUUGGACGGUUUCCUGGGGGACAAAUGAUGGGUAUUAUCAAGGCAUUUCUUGAACUAAAUGCUUGAGCUGCUUCUCUACGAACUUCCAGCAGGCCUGGGGUUCUGAAUAAGGUGAUUUUUUGGCUGAAAAGUGAUGAAGAAAAAGCCACGAUCUGAUGUUUAAAAAUAAUUGAAAUUUGAAGGCUUCUGCUUUACAGAAAUAUGAACAAUCAGUUCAAACGUGCAAAAUUAACACAAACCAAAAGUACUACUGCUAUGAUCCUUCUCUCUUAGAUCCUCAGUUGCCCAUGGUCAGUCCCCGCUAGUGGUCACACAUAUUGUCCAGUUUUGCGCAAUCCAUAAUUUUGAAGACACCAACAUUCUUGUUUCCCUGCUCAUUAACUGAUGAGAUUUGCCUGACCCUUUACAAUUUUUUUUUGAUUCCAAAAGGCAAAAGCACUCGGUGAUUGUCUGUUGAAAACUUGAAUCAUGAUUUAUUUUCUGUGCUCAAGUCUAUCUCCUUGGCUAGUCAUUCAUUCCUGUCAAAUAUUGAAUUGACUGAGCUGCUUGUUUUUGUUGCUGCUGUAAAACCAUUUAUUUUCCCAAGGCUCACAUGUUUUAUGAUGUGGUUUUGCAGAUUUAAUAAAGCUGCUGGGAGCUGUACGAUUGAGAAGCAUACCAUUUCUGCAACAUUGACACGAGAGGGGUGUUUCGCAUUGUAAUUUACUAAUUUGAUUGGUCCUAAUAAAACAACGUGCGACAAGCAAAUGGUUUUUUCUUUCUCUGUUUUUGGGGAGGUCCAAAUCUUCGAUAUAUAAAAGAGCAGUCAUUUUCGCCAUCGCUCUUAAAACGUAGCAUCCACCAUUUUCUGUUUACAUACACCAUGCCAGAGUAAACACAGAAGAAGUGCUUGAGUAUGCAAUUUGCAAUACAUUCUGGGAUCUAUUCAAGCAAAGCUCUGAUACUGAUUACUUUUCUUGAAGUUUCAAGCUGGUGCUCGGAUGCAAUUAAUAUGCCCGGACGCUCCCAAUCCAGACAUAGGCAAACAGAGAGCUGGGGUUGGCCUGAUUCCUAUAAGCAACAGCAUCUCCAGAGCCUGUUGUUAGUUGCAUGCAUAUGGUUGAUGAGUGUGGAAUGUGGUAUAGUUGAAUUUAAUUUUCAUUUUUAGGUUGUAAUAGUUGACAAGGAUUCACUAGCGCCAUCUAUAUUGAAAACACAAUCUACUUUCAGGGAUGCUUUAGAGCGGAGUGAGAGUUAUAUCUAAAGGAUUUCAUGUUUUAUCUAAAGGAGAAGGUAAAACUAGCUUGAAAUGUAUGAUUUAAAUAUGAUUGAUUUUUUUUUUCAAGGUGAGUGUUUGAGCUAGCUUGUAUAUGCUUUGACUAAUUUUACGGACUUUAAAGUUAACAAUCAUGUAAGCUUCUAGUAGCUUUAAGAGUAUUCAAACUCGUAAUCAUUAAAAAGUAAAUUCAGAAUCUGAUUAGUUUAACUGUUCAUUAAUGUUAAUUCUUGUUUGUGCCUGAGAGGUGAUAUGAUUUAUCCAAUAACAUUGUUUUAAAUACAUGUUAUUUAUUUUUUAUUUAUGAUAUGACCAUAAAAAAAAGAUGAAAUUAGACUAACUGAUUAAGAAAAAAAACUUUUGGUAUUUGUGUUCAUAUUACUGGGAUAAUUUAUUAGAGUAGCUAACUGAAAGUAGCUAGUGGCAUUUAUGUUUAGAUAGCCAGUAUAAUUUAUUAGACUAGUUGAUUGAAAAGAGUUAUUGAUCAUAGUUAUUAAACCCGGACCGACUUUAAAAGUUGACCCGGGACACAGUGACUGUACCGAUCUAGGUAAGAUGAAAGACUGGUAAGAGCAAAAAAAUAAUCAAACCUGGUCAACUCGGGAAAACCUGAUAAAGAUUCAUUUUCUUUUAAAUGUGUUUUUUCUCCUAACCAGAGACCCUUUAUUUCAUUUAUUUUUGUUGGUUAUUAAUCAUUUUCAAAGUUCACCAUAUAAAUAUUGGAAGAAUGUUUAAUUUUUUCAAUGUGAAAUUUGAAACCCUUUAAUAUAUAUAUUCUAUUUUCACAAGAAAAAAAGUUAUGUUUUUUCAAUGUGGGAUAAAAAAUCUUUUUUGUUUAAAUACUUUAACUUAAAAUGAUAACAUAAUAUCUUUUCAAUGUGGAAUAAAAACCUUUUGAAAUAAUAUUUUAAACUUUAUUAUUUAAAAUAUGAAUAACUUAUAUUCAAAUGAUUUUUUUUUUAAUUUUUUUUUUGUAAUAUUAAAACUUCAAUAUAUAUUUUUUAAAAUUCUUCAAAUUGACCUGGAUCAGCCAGUGUAACCUAGGAGCCUAUCCUUUAACUGGGUUAACUUCUGGGUCAGAUUUAAUAACUAUGUUAUUGACAUUUUAGAUACCCAAGAUAAUUUAUUAGACUAACUGAGAUGAAAGAAUUAGUGAUAUCAAUAUGUUUAAUUACCAAGAUAUUAAAUCUAUUUUAAAUUUAAAAUAUAUGCAUGAAUUUUAUGUGAACUGAAAAUGAUAAAAUAAAAAUCCACUUCAAAUUUUUUCAAUGAUAAAUUUAUUUUCUUUUCAAUUCAAUAUAUUUAUAACUCCCUUGUUUUUUUUUUUUUUUUUUUUUUAUCCAAGCAUUACAUUUAGGUUUGGCUGACGUGCCCCACGGCUGCUUCUCCUUCCAGGAAAAUGUUCCUGUCUUCCCACGUUAGUCAAUCCAAAUUCAGUGCAUACACCACCAGAAAAAAGAAAAGAAAAAAGAAAAAAAAAAAAGAGAGGAAAAACGGUGCAGUUCAUAGCACUUCAACCAAACAAUACUUCAUUUCCAAUAUGAUCACGUGUAUUUAAUUAAUGCACAUUAAAUUAGGCGUCUACUCAUCUUGCAUGUGCCAAAAACUUGAAUAACAUAUUAGUAGUACUUGGUGUACUCAUCUUCCAAAGUCUAAGAUUGACCAACUUGGAAGUGAGAAAACACUAGCUGGAUAUGGCCAUUCAAGCAACAUUCAUAGCAGAUCCAGUUCUCAUUUCAAGCCCAUCAAGAAUCUCCAUCGGAGGUAAAAAUUCUUUUUUCAUCUUUCUUUUCUUGCGAUCUUCCUCUUCUUUUAUGAUCUUGUAGUUGUUGUGUUUGAGCUUCUAUGGAUAUUUGAUUUGAUACAGACCAAAUUUGCAGUUUCUUUAAUCAUGUGAAAACUUUUGAUUAAUGGGUUUUGUCCGCUGAAGAAUUUGGUAACCUGAAGUUAACUUGCCUGCAUCUUUCUUGAACUUGGAAAGUUCAAGAAAAUUGGUCAAUGAAGCUUUUAUCUAACUCAAAAACCACCACUCCACUGUGUCAUAUAUAGCAUAUAAACCACCACUGGUUGCGGCAAUAACUGUAGAUGUUUCCUGGCCAGAGGUGUUCAGAACAGUUUCCCUUAAUACUAUUCUGCGAAGGAUUAGGCAAAAGGCUCCUGCUACUGCAUAAGAUUGCAUAUGUGAAUUAGUAGUUACAGAAUUGUUCACUUUUCCAUUUCUGCAUCUUUUUAUUUGUCAAGGCUACUCAGACUGAAGCAGUUCUCCAUUACUUGCCAAAUACUCUCCUGUAUUGAUUUGUAGUGAACAGAUUUAUUCACAACAUGAAAUUCCUAACUAUUGAUUGCUCAAUAUGUUGUCAAUGACCUGUCUUCGUUUCUCUCGAAAGGUUGGGAGCAACGUAUUGGGUCUUUUGUGUUGAAAACGAGGCCUGGGCAUCUGAGGCUUUCAAAUGGAGGCAGAGUCAGAGCAAGAGCUUCUCUGAAUGCUGAUUUGAAAGCAGUUGGAAUUCCUCAUCAGUGGUACAAUGUUGUUGCAGAUCUUUCAGUGAAACCUCCUCCCCCACUGCAUCCUAAAACAUUUGAACCAGUCAAACCUGAAGAUUUAUCUGCUCUAUUUCCUGAUGAGUUGAUUAAGCAGGAGGCAAGCACUGACAAGUUCAUCGAUAUCCCGGAAGAAGUUCUUGAUAUUUACAGUCUCUGGCGCCCAACUCCAUUGAUCAGGUUUAUUCUGAUAUUACAAUCACAGACUAUGCGUUAAGGUGUUCUGUUCCUGGCCCCUGGUCGGAAGUAUCUUACAUGAUUUUUGUUGCAUUUAGAGCAAAGAGGUUGGAGAAGCUUCUCGAUACACCUGCCAGAAUUUACUACAAGUACGAGGGUGGCAGCCCAGCCGGAUCCCAUAAACCCAACACUGCAGUCCCACAAGUUUUUUACAAUGCACAGCAAGGCAUCAAGAAUGUUGUGACAGAAACUGGUGCUGGCCAAUGGGGAAGUUCAUUGGCCUUUGCGUGCAGCUUAUUUGGUCUUGACUGUGAGGUAGACAACGUUUAAGUUAUUCAUCAAUCUCAACAAGUAUUUUCAUGCACUGAAAUAGGUUGAAUCAAAUCGGGUUUACUCAUAGUUGGGUUAACUAAAGAGCUAUUGUAUAGUGAACUUCGCGACUUCAAUUCCUCAUUUCUAUAGCAAAGAAGACAGUGUAUUGCAUGGUCGUCAGUAAAAUGUUCUUCCUUUAACGAGGGGAUGGCUAGAUUAAAUCUAAUUAUAUAUGAAAGGGUCGUCUAGGAAAAGUAGCCACAGCCCUACUAUUUUAUUUUAGAGCUCACCUUCCUUGUGCCUAUCGAAGUUUUUGGUUUUGAACUACACUGAUCCUGCUCUUAAAUUUUGUUACUAUUCCUAACCUGAACCAUCGGCUUCUUCUUCUAAAUCCUUGUACAGGUGUGGCAGGUUCGCGCUUCUUAUGAUCAGAAACCAUAUCGUAGAUUAAUGAUGGAGACCUGGGGUGCAAAGGUACACCCAUCUCCAUCAAGCAUUACCGAGACUGGUAGGAGAAUUCUCCAGAUGGAUCCGUCAAGUCCAGGAAGUUUAGGAAUAGCUAUAUCAGAAGCUGUAGAGGUUGCAGCUAAAAAUGCUGACACCAAGUACUGCUUGGGGAGUGUUCUGAAUCAUGUUUUGUUGCAUCAGACAGUCAUAGGUGAGGAGUGCAUAAAACAAAUGGAGGCUAUUGGUGAAACCCCUGAUGUGAUAAUAGGAUGUACCGGUGGAGGGUCCAAUUUUGCAGGACUCAGUUUCCCAUUCAUCCGAGAGAAGCUCGACGGGAAAAUCAACCCUGUCAUAAAAGCUGUUGAACCUGCAGCAUGUCCUUCGCUGACAAAAGGUGUGUACGCAUAUGAUUAUGGAGAUACAGCAGGAAUGACUCCAUUAAUGAAGAUGCACACUCUAGGACAUGACUUCAUUCCUGACCCUAUUCAUGCUGGUAAUGUGAUGUUUCUAUCAAAGACUCAGAUAUGUUUAAAGUUCAUUUUCUUCUUCUUCUUCUUCUUCUGAUCCUAUAUUGCAAUACAUUUUCUACUCUGUAGGUGGAUUGCGUUACCAUGGCAUGGCUCCAUUAAUUUCCCAUGUGUAUGAACUGGGUUUCAUGGAAGCAAUGGCAAUCCCUCAGGUCGAGUGCUUUCGAGGUAACUGUCGUCCUUCUUAUGGACCAGCACCGAUACAAGUUCCAUUCAUGUUGAUUGCAGAGUUAUUAAUGAACUGAGAAAUCUACAGUCAGAUUGUAGAAGUGGAGAUCCAUCAUCCAUGCAUAAGUUGUCCUGGAGGCAAUAAGUAAAACGCAAAGCUUACAAUUCUAUUUCAAUGCAGGUGCCAUACAAUUUGCUCGGUCGGAAGGACUGAUACCAGCACCGGAGCCAACUCAUGCAAUCGCUGCUACCAUAAGGGAAGCACUGCACUGUAAAGAGACUGGAGAAGCAAAGGUUAUUCUCAUGGCAAUGUGUGGACAUGGCCAUUUUGACCUGAAAUCUUAUGAGAAGUAUUUGCAAGGAAAGAUGGUUGACUUGUCAUUCGAUGAGGAGAAAAUAAGAGCAUCAUUGGACAAAGUUCCUCAGGUGACAAGAACUUGAGCCAGUACAGGUGGUGCUAUGGAGGAUGGACAUUUUAGAUUAAGAGAAAAUCUUUCUUGUCAGGUGAACAAGAGAUUUUUUGCUAUUAGAUGCUUUUUAUUGAAAUUUAGUCGUUGCAAUUAGGCUUUCAAUAAAAAACAAGAUUUAGACAGCAGCAUUUGCCUUGGUCUGAAGCGGUGGUUCUCUCUUCUGCCACCACAAUAAUUUGUUUUCUUGUUAUAAAACGUCACUCUUUGUUAUAUCGAUUUCUUAAGUUUAUACGCUUUGAUUUUAUCUUUCUUUGUUAUAUUGAUUUUUUUUUCAAUUUUAUCAUUAAAAACUUCAUGAUUUGUUUUAUGGAGUGAUUCAUUCUCAUGAACUGGAUAACAAGUUUGAAAGGUUAACUCAAGUUAAUAUUAGUCUUUUUUUAAAAGUUUUUUUUUUUUACACUAAUCUUCUUGUCAAUUUGUCAUUUAAUGGUGGAUUUGUAGGAAGUUGAGCUUUAUGAUUUUUUUUUAUUUUUAUUUCUAUGAAAUUAUCUCACUUUCAUGAUAUAGGUUGUAGAUUUGACGGGUUAACCAGUAUUAACUUAAGACUUUUUUGGUUUUUUUAAAUUGAAUAUUUUUCUAAUUUUAUACUUUAAUAUUAAGUUAGAUCGAGAACUGAACUUCAUGAUUUUUCAUGAUUUUUCUUUUAUUAGGUAAUCUCGUUCGCAUAAUCUAGGGUUUGGUGGACUUACUCGGCUUUGUUGGUAUUUUUUUUUUGGGUUAUUUUUCUAAAUUGAUUUUUUUUCCUGAUUUUAUUUUUUUAUAUUGAACUUGUUGGGAAUUAGAUAUCAUAUUUUUUUUUAAUUUGCUUUUGAUGGAGUUAUAUCGACCUCGCGAUCCAGGAUGCAAGUUCAACAUGAUAACUUAGAAUGACUUGGAUUAUUUUUUUUUGUUUUAAUUUUUUUUUCAACAUUGAUUUGGGUAGGAAAUGAGCUACAUAAUUUUUUUGGUCAGUAUUUUUUUUGUAUAGGUUAUCAUGAUCAUUUUUUUUUAAUCCAAUCAAUUUAUUAUCGUUAUUUUUUUUAUCAUAUAAUUAAAUGAAAUUAGCUUAUUAGUUAGAUUUAUAACCUGAAACAUAUAUUUCUCUUAUGUAUUUAAAACACUCAACAAUCAUAUGUACACAUGCAAUAAUCAUAUGUGCAUUUUUUUUAACAUUAUAAUUUUUUUUUAGUUUUGUACCGUAUUAUAUCACAGGCCACCAAUAUAUAUAUACCCUCGAUCAUUGAUAUUUACCAUUGAGCUCAUGUUUAGAUCAUGAUUGAAUUUAAUAAGUUAAUUCAAAACUGGUUAUCUAGAAAUCAAAUUGGAUUGGAGUUUUAGUUGAAUCAUAUAAGUUGUUGACUUGGUUAAAUAUAAAUGAUUUAAUCAAAAUCUAAUUGUUCAAGUUGAUUCAAUUAAACUUAAUAAAGAUAAAGUGAAAAAGAAAGUAAGAAGAAUAAUUUUGACCUGGGGGAGAAAACCUAACCCCUUAUUUUAAACAAGUUUUGCAUCAUUUUACUUGAUAUAAAAAACAUUUUGCAAAUAAUAUUUAGCAAGAUACUAGUUUAUAGUUUGGUGUUAUGUUGCAAAUCAGAUUAAUUUUUUUUAAUAUAAAAAAAAUCAAGUUCGUAGAUAACUAUUUAAUAUUGUUAUUAAACAUGGUAUAGCAGACAACCCUAAAACCUUAUGAUCAGACUCUUUGUUUAUCUCGAAUUUAAAAUUAAACUGUAUGAGGAUUAUCCAAUAUGAUUUAGUCUACUUGGCCAAUUCAAAAGCUACUUGGUUGACCAAUAUAAAAAGUUUGAGGAUGAAGUUGAGAUAAAAAUGAUUUAAAUUGAUUGAAAAAACCUUUAUAAUCCAACUUUUUGUUUAGAUUAGAUUUAAAAUUAAAUUAUGAGGAAGUUAUUUUGAUGUGAUCUAGUCGAUUUAACUGGUCUAUAGGUAAUUGAUUAACCGAUAAAAAAAAUCCAAGGACGAUAUUGAGACAAAAUGGAUGAAAUUAAUAGGAAAAAACUUCUUGAUCUAGUUUCUUGCCUAACCCGAGUUUAAUUUUAAACUAUAUGAAAAUUGCAUCGACAUGACCCAAUCGAUUUGGUUUAUCCAAAGACAAUCUGAAUAACUGUUAAAAAGAGUUUGAAAAUGAAAUUGAAAGAGAGAGACAAAAAAAAAAAAAAACAAGACUCGAUUCCUUGUCAGUCGAUUCAAUCAACUUAAAGGCAACUUGAACUAAUAUUAAAAAACGUUUGAGGAAGAAAUUGAGAAAAGGAGAUGAAAAUAAAAAAGUAGGGAGAAUUGAAAAAUAAAAGACGCUAAAUUGAAAAGAAGGGGGGGGGGGUUGUUAUGAACCAGAAUUUUCUAAUAUAGUAGGGUCAUAAAUAAUUUGGUUUUGUAAAUUUAACCAGUAUCCUUUCUAAUCAAGAAUAUCCAUGAGCAUAUGUCAUAAAAAAUAUAUUUUCAAGAAAUUUUCUUAUAGGGUGGAAUAUUGUAAUAACUUAACCACGUGACCAAAAUAUCCUUUUUAUAUUUCGGAUUUUUUUUUUCAUUUGAAUAAUCAUAAGCAUUUUUCCUAUCUUCCAAGGCUCAACUUUUAUCACGAAGCCUAGCUUUUCAUAUUAUUAUUUAGAAUUGAUUUGUUUUUUUUUUUUAAAAAAAAAAUCAAAAGAUACACGCACACACAUAUACAUGCAUGCAUGCAUAAAAGUAAACCUCAAUUCAGUCCUGAUGAUAACCCAUUUUUAAUUUACGUCCCAUAACUUUUGAUAUUUAUCAAUUUCACUCAAAAUAGUAUUUAAUUAAUAUUAGACAUUUAAUGUCGGUUGCAUAUGAGGGUAAAUGGAUAAAAUUAAAAGAAUUGAAACUCAACUGAUACUUAGGGUAAUAAGCUAGAAGCGAGAACCCCUCGCACAAAACAAAUGUAGAAACGUCGUCGUAACUGCAAGUCCUGGUCCCUGGUUGUAAAUAUUGUAGCUGUGAUUGAUUAACGUGAGAGCUCCCCCCCCCUCCCCCCUCUCUCUUCUGUAUCAGCGUAUCGCUGGUGCUGUAUUUUUUUCUCAUCAUCCGUUAUCGCGCAAUUGCAGCCUCUCCUUUCAGGUAAUCCUCAGUAAUUUCACCGUCUUGUUCCAUUUAUCUUCUAUUUUCAUGUUCUUGUUUUUUUUUUUUUAUUAUUUCGUUUCAGUUUAUGUUUUAAUAAUAUAACACACCAGUAAAUUCUUUUUUAAAAAAAUAUUACUGGAUACUUAGCUCAAUUCCAUCGAAUUAAACAAAUGGGAUUUUGUUUUAACAUUUUUAUUUUUUUAUGGUAUUAAAUUUGAUGAUUAUAGAUUAUGAACUGGGAUUAAUUUUAAGAGGUGGGUUUUGCAGAUAAAUACAUUUUAUUCUUAAUCUUGAGGUCUUGAAUUGCAUGGGACUGUUAUUGCUUCUGUAUAAAAUGGGUACUGAUUGAAUUUGAAUAAAUAUGAUGUAACAUGGAAUUUAUGAUUCUAGGAGGAGGUUUUUUUUUGGUUUUGCUGUCACACGAAUUCUAUAUGUUGAGUUAUUCCAGCUUUUGAUGUGUUUUUAACCAUGAUGCUUGACCGUGAAUAGAAUUGAGGAACUGAUUUUAAAUGGAAAUUUUAUGAUUUCAUGGUACAUUGCUCUUCCUGUAAUUAUUUAAUGUUUUUGAGUGCAGUAUGUGGAGAAAGUAACUCUAGUGUUUCUUGGUAAUGCUGCUUUGAUUAUUUCCUAUGAUUUUAUCAGUAGGGUUUCUUGAUACAGGUCAGAGUUAGUUAAGUUAAAAUGGCGAGUAAAGGUCGAAUUCCACCUCCUCAUUUAAGGCGUCCUCUUCCAGGAUCUGGUAUGGUUCAUCCUGAUUCAUUUGGCUCAGGACUACGUCUGCCACAAGGCCCUUUUCCUCCUUUUGAGAUGUUGCCUCCCCCAGAAGUUAUGGAACAGAAGAUUGCUGCACAACAUGGAGAGAUGCAAAGACUUGCAACGGAGAACCAGAGACUUGCAGCAACUCAUGGAACCUUGAGACAAGAACUUGCUGCUGCUCAACAUGAGUUGCAGUUAUUACAUGCUCACAUUGGAGCUGUCAAGGCUGAAAGAGAGCAACAAAUGAGGGGACUUGUGGAUAAUAUAGGCAAAAUGGAAACUGAAUUGAAAGACGCAGAGCCUGUAAGGUUGGAAUUGCAGCAGGCACGGGUAGAGGCUGAGAAUUUGCUUGUAACGAGGCAGGAACUCGUGUCUAAAAUUCAUCAGUUGAGUCAGGAUCUUCACAGGGCCCAGGUAGAUGUGCAGCAGAUUCCUGCUCUGAUGUCAGAACUCGAGGGUCUCAGACAGGAAUAUCAACGAUGCAGGUAUUGGUUCUAUUUUAUCUUGUUGAUUCUUAAUUUACCUUGGUAAAAAUUAAUUUUAAAUGUUUGAAUAUUUGUCUCUAAAAAAUGCUCCAUUCUAAAGCAUUGUUACACCCAUGUCUGCUCUGCCAACUCAAUGGUUCCUUUAAUUGAUGGUGUGCACUUUUCCUGAGUAAUUUUACCCGCAAAUCAUUCUACUAGACUCAUUUUUCCCCAGUGUUACAGUUUUCAUUUCUAAGCUGAACAUGCUUGUGUGUUAACUGCUAUGAAUGAUUUGGUUUCGCUUAUGAAAAUUCCAUCAUCUUUUAUCGGGUUGACUGUGUAGGGUUUCAUAUGAUUACGAGAAGAAAUUAUUUCAUGACCACCUUGAGCAACUUCAGACAAUGGAGAAGAACUAUAUCACAAUGUCUAGGGAAUUGGAAAAGCUUAGAUCAGAAUUGACUAAAACAGCGAAUGUUGAUAUAAGAAAUGGUAAUCUUGUUGUUUCUUUUGCUCAUUUAGAGCUCCUUUUUUUUCUAGAUUUUAUUGCAUAUUAUACGAGGUUCAUUUUCUCUAUAUAGUUGCAGGAGGGCCUUAUGGUGGCCCUGCUGGUAACGAGAGUGAGGCAUCUGGGCAUCCGGCAGGAAAAAAUAUAUACGAAGAUGGCUAUGGCAUUCCGCAAAGCCAGGUGAGUCAAAUUCCACUUUGACGGUUGUCAUAGUUACUCUGUCUCGGUCUCUUUGAUACUCUAAUCCUAUCGGUUUUUAUUAUUAACAUGUAAUGUACUUACGGAGGGAUGGUGAACUAUACUAUAGAUAUGCAUUAGAAAAUGUAUUGUUGAUUCCUCUUUCUGUCUUCACUUGCCUUAUUAGUAAAGAUAGUUGAUGCAAUAAGGUUAAUUUCAAUGAGAUGAUUAUGCCUGAACAACAUUCUAACUUCUUGAUUUCAUUGCUCCAUCAUGACAUUAGGCUGGACAUUAAAAUUUCGUUUUCUUUUUUUUCCCUGGAAACUAAAUCUAGGGGUUAUUAGGUUAUCAUCAUUGUCAUCAUCAUCAUCAUCAUCAUCAUUAUUGUGGUUGUGGUUGUUGUGCUUGCAUGUCAAAUGAGUAUUGCUGAAUUGUGAAUGGCUUAUCAGUGGGUUCUUCUUUGGUAAAUUAUUUAGAAUCCCUUAAUUGUAAGAAUUGGCAUGGGUUCUUUAUACAUUUAAAGACAGUUUAAAAUGUAUGCAAGUUUUCUGGUGGAUGCAAAAAAUCCUUGACAUGCAUGUUAGUGAACUGGUGCUGUAUAUUUCUUGGCAAGUAUGCAAGUUGCAUUUUCAUCUUACAUUGAGAUUUGGAAUAAAUUAUAUGGUUAUGUGCGAAGCUUCAGAAACGUGAGGGAAUGAUACCAAACUAGAGAAACACGUGUAAACUGCUUCUGCAAUGAUGAUAAAACAUGGAGGUGGUUUCUGGAUGUCAGGAACUUGAUUGCUUCUGAAAUUGAAUUUAUCAAAAGGAAAGAAACAAUACAGCAAAACAAAAAUAGGCAACUAUUCCUGAGAGAAUAUCUUGAUAUUCUCUCGACUGUUUCUUUGAAGAUUUUCCUAGGUAUUUGAGGCAAAGUAAUUAUCUCAAGUAUGAAUGAGUAAGAGCUUAUAACUAGAAACAAGGCAGAUAUUUGGUGAUCAUAAAAAUCAAAAACUGGUUUCCAAAGUGUUCUUUCUGGUGUGACUCAUUUUAAGUUCUGGCCAAAUAUAAUUGUAAAUGAAGUUAUGAUUGUAAUUGGAGUUAUGGUAUCAGAUGGCUAAUUUUCUUUGGUUACUGCUACUUCAGACUUGCCUGCCAAAGAGUCGAGGUUGUUAUAAUUCAGACCCUCUAGUAGUCUCUUUCAGGUCAUCUAUAUAGCGAAGUUGGUAAUGUAGCUAAUGUUUGCAGAUGGCUAUUAUACGGUAGGAAUUAGUUGGUACAAAAUUGGCUCCGGAGUGGUUCCCAAUUAAAGCCUGUUUUUGGGACAGAUGGAAAAUAAACAAUUUGAUAGUGGUGACAUUUUGAAGAAAUAUAACUGCUUGUCAUAAGUGAAUUGUAAACUUACAAUCUGUUAACCAAAAGCAUGCCUGAAGAAACCAAAAUACAUUUUGGGGCACGCAUAAUGCUUGCUAUAUUUAACUAUGUUUGCAACACAGAUUUUGCCAUGUAAAAUCAACACAAAAGGCUGUUGAUGGGCAAAACUAACCAUAUGCUAUUACAAGGCUCAAACAAUUGGUCAGGGCCAGCUCUGUUGGGCAUGGGAGUCUUCAUUGCUGUUGUCUUUGUUGUUUCCUUUGAUGGCUCAAUUUUCUGUCAGCUUCUGGAAAUAAAAAUGAAUUGAUAGAAUUGUGGUUUAUGUAACAGGGACAUCCUGCUCUCCAUAACUCUGGUGCUGCAAAUAUUGGUGCUGUUGGUAAUGCUGGUGCUGGUACUGCGACUCCUUAUGCUGGGGCUCAAUCUGGUGUUGCGCCCUCAAAACCUGGUUAUGAGGCACCAAGAGGCCCUGCCUAUGAACCACCAAAAGUACCUGUUUAUGAUGCAUCAAGAUUGCCUGGCUAUGAUAUGCAAAGGGGACAUGGAUAUGAUGCUCAGAGAGGGCCUGGAUAUGAUGCUCAGAGAGUACCUGGUUAUGAUCCACAGAGACUUGCUGUUUAUGACAUUCAGAGAGGACAUGCAUAUGAUGCGCAAAGAGGACAAGGUUAUGAUGCACAGAGACUGCCUAAUUAUCAUGCAUCCAGGGGUGCUGGCUAUGAUGCAGCAGCAUCCAGGGGUGCCGCAGGGCCACAAGGGCAUGUGGCACCACCCGCAAACAAUAUGCCAUACGGGUCUGCAACUCCACCAACUCAUUCUGGAAGUGGGUACGAAGCACCAGCUAGAGGUGUCGCCGGGCCGCAUGGGCAAGUGGCAGCUGGAAACAACAUGCCUUAUGGGUCUGCAACACCACCAACUCGUUCUGGUAGUGUGUAUGACGCAUCGGCUAGAGCUCCAAACCCUGCCAGGAGAUGAGCUUAAGAGAAUGUACUUGCAGUGAAAUAGUAGCUAACAUCCCUCCUUUCUCAAACCCUCUCUCUUAUCUUUCUCCCUGUUUUUUGGUUUAUAAGCCUGGCUAUUGUUUUACGGUGCACUAUCCAGUAGAAAUUCUGCAUUGGUCGAGCAGCUACGCUCUCUCCCUGUCUUGUUUCUCAAGGUUCACUAAUUUCCCAAUAGUUCUCAUAUGUUGAUCCCUUGCUUUGAAGGGUUAUAUUGCAACAAUGUAUUACAAUCUUUGAGCAAUUCUAGAUCUGCACAUUUCGCUUCUAUUUGCGGUGUCUAGUGUGAUGGUUAGGGGAGAUUUUCCCUGGCAGUUUGCUGAUAGAUGCCCCUCAUUAAUUCAGGUGUAGUAUGAGUAUGAAUUUCUUUCUUUUCUCUUGGAACUGGAGUUUUUUUUUUGUUUUUUUUAGAGCAACCAUUGUUAAUUUGAUGCCUGAAUGAAUUGCUGUACUUAACAAAUCUAAGUGCCCCGGAUUAAUGAAAGUGAGGAUCAUUUCUAUAAUGUAGCUAUCCAUAAACUACAUAAAAAUAAUUACAUCAAUUCUUUGUAGUUUUAUGCAAGGAUGAGGAAUAAAUUUAUCUCAAUGUAGUUUGUAGAAUUUCUCGCAAAUUUAUUAUUAUUAUAAUUAUUAUUAUUAUUUACAAUCUAACUUGUGCUAUUAACAAAAUCUUAUUGGUCUUGGAAAAUUAAUGUAGCUUCACACCCAUUGACUUUAUUUAUUGAAACAAUGUAAUAAUUUUGCUUUUCUACCUGAAAACAUUAAAAACAUCUGUACAGGCUUCCAAGGUUAUAGAAAAUUUUUUACGUAGUUUAUUUGUCAUUUUUAAUUUAACUAAGAAUAAAUAAGUAUUUUUUUCAUCUUAAUUAUAUAAUAAAAUGAUUAGAAUACCAUUGGAAGCUAAAAAAGAAGUUAAACUUGAUGUUAAAGGAUAUUUUUGUAUUUUCCAACACCGGGAGGGUUUGUGCGAAUACCAAACUUAUGAUAUAGUUCACAUACGUCUAUGGUUGAAUAACAAUAGAGUAUUGUUUACUUUGUUACUUUUUAGUUAAAAUAUUUAGCACAUUCAAAUUAAUAGAUUUUAUUUAGGUUUAUUAUUGAGCUUAAUUUAUAUUAUUUUGUUGGAUAUUUUAUUUAGUAGACUAUAAGCUUUGGUUGUGAUGAGGCUUUUGGUAUUUAUAUGUAAUUUUCAUAUUAUGGAGAGUUUUGAUGAAUUAAUAAAAAUUUAAGUUUUUUCUUUCUUUCUUUUCUUUUCUCUUCUCCUUCUCUUUCAUCAUUUUCCUAAUGUUUUCGUCCUCUUCCUCCUUUCUUUUCCUCCUCUUUCUUUUCUUUAUAUCAUAUUAUUUUGCAUCAUCAUAUAACUUGUAUGAGUCUUUUAUACAUUUACAAAAGAAUGUUGAGUUGUUAUUGUAGGAUUUAUAUUACUAAUAGCCAAAAAAAUAAAAUAUUAUCCAUUAAUUUUUUUAAUAUUGAGUCCUCAGGUUAAGCGCAUGAACCUAGUCUAUUAUGGGUGGGCUAGGCAUUGUAUCUUUAUUUUUUUUACCUUCUGAAAUUUUUUUACUAGAUUUAUUUACUUUUUAAUUUUGAUAUGAUUCUUACAUAUUAUUAUAAUCUUUUUUAAAUUUUAAUAAUUUUAUUUUUCAAUUAAUAUGUAUCUAAUUUGAAAAUACUAAUACUAAUAAUAAAUUAUUCAUGAAAACUCGAUUGAAAUCAAUUUUUUUAUUAAAAUAUUUUAAUAAUUUUUGAACAUAUAAUUUAUAACAUUUAUGAUUUUUUUAACUUUCUAAUACAUAAAUUAUACAUAUACUAUUUUGAUAUUUUUUAUUAACUUAUUUAACAAUCAUAAAAUAUAUUUUUUAACAGAAACACUUACUCUAAUUAAAAUCAUUGCAUUGACUAAGAUAAACAAAACAUAAUGAAUAUAAAAUUUUCUUUCUAAAUUAGUGGAAAGUGAAAAUCAACUAACUUUUUGAAGAUAAAUAAUGAAUAAUAUAAUCCUUUAAUCGCACGACUAUCUUUUUUUUCCCUUUUUUUUUUUUCUUGUCAUUCAUAUUGAAAAGGGCAAGUCAUCAGUGCUCUUUUUCGCUGCUUUAGCUCUUCACUGCUGCUUUAUAUCCCAUUAUUCAUCAUUCCUUGGAGUAACCUCACACUGAAAAUUAAAUAUCGUCAGCACCUAAUCUUUAAGUACAGCUUUAUCAUCUCUAUAGCUUUAUUACGUGGACAGAAUUAACUUUUGAUUCAAGCAGCUAGCGAUAAUCUGGUUAAAAAAUCACCAUUUUAACUCAAUAAUUUUAGUUAUUAGAUAAAAUUUUAAGAUAUAAUUUAUAUUAUUUUCUAACAUAUCUUUUUAAAUAAAAACCUUUUAAACUUGAAACUUGUAUAAACCCAUAUUAUUUUAUACUUAAUUUUUAUUAAAUAAAUUAAAAUAAUAAAAUUCGAACUUGUAAAUAAUUGAUCAUUAAAAUUCUGAUAUCAUAUUAAAAAUUCAACUCAAUCUAAUAAAUUAAAUUGUGAAAUAAAAUUUUUUAAUUUGUAUUACUUUUUAAUUAUCUUUUAUUUAAACAAAAAGUAUUUGGAUGGCUGCAGUGUCAGGGCCCCAGUUGUGAGAGAAGGAUAGUAUGCAAUGAUGAUCAGAUCUGUACGUAGCUGUUUAUAUCAGAGGCUGGUAAAUUUUAGGGAAAACACAUGAAGCAUAUUAACUAGCUCGAAGAUAUAUAAUCUCUAGCCAUAAAACUAAAAAAGAAGAAGAGGGUUUUUCUUUUUUGAAGUAAUUUGACCAAAUUAAGUGAAUCGCUUUAAUGAGGAAACACGUGAAGCAUAUUCUUUUAGUUAUUAAUGGCUUCCGAAAGUUCUUCAUGACUGAGAAAAGAAGUCUUUAAAGUCCAGAUCAUGUGAUACAUAUGCAACUCAAACUAGACCACCCAUGAUCACUUCCCAAAGGUUUGUGAUCCACGUCCAAGGAGGAAUCCACACCAUAUGUUGUUGAUAAUGUCCAAGGCCCUGAGUUGCAUACACCAGGAGCUCUUGAGAUAGCGAAUCCAUGGAUUACUGCUUGCAUACACGAUAUGUUCUUGGCACAUUCAUAUAUGUGCUUAGUAUAAUUUCAAUAUCAGGGUAUAUUUGUAUUCGUUUCCAUGCAGCCAUUCUAACAAAAAAUAAUUUUAAACGGGUGGAUUAUACAUGUUAUCACUGCUAUAUAUCCUCUACUUGGAUUCAAAUCUAAAAUGAUCAUGUGAAAACUAAAUUCGACUGAUCCCUUGCAUUCAACAAAGAGUUAUGCCACAAUAAACGUCAGCUGUUUUAAUUGAUUAAGUUAUUUGUUAUGGUAAAAAAUGUUGUAAAUUGCAAUUAUGCUCAAGAUUACAAGGAUCGGGGGGGAAUGGAGCUGUGCUAUUGUAUCAUCCAUGACAGAGCUUAGCCAUGGAGGAACAGAAGACAAGACGAGAUUAAUAAUUAAAAGAGAAAGGACAUGUGAAUAUUAUCUUCAAUAUAUACUCAAGAACAGUACAGAUCAGAAAGCAUAAGUCUUGGUCUUUGGAGAAUCAGCGAUCUUCAAUGUCUCUUCAACGAGCUUCCUGGCCUUCCUGCUUCUGAUUUCAACUCUCAUGCUCUCACUCUUCUCAAUCUUAUCAUAAGGUUUCUUCAUCUUCAAGAGCCUCAUUCUGGAUUUCAAGAACACCAUCAACCUCUCUACUCCCAUCAUCACCAUGGCUAGCUCUAGCUAUUUAAAAUUACCUGCUAUUCAAGUAAUCAAUGAUUUUAACCGCUUUUAAACAAACACAGAGAUGAAAAAGGGAAGAGAAGCUAAAGAGUACCUACCUUCCUUGAGCAAUUACUUGCAAGAAGACAAAACUUUAGCUGGGAAAAUUAAGAAAUUAGCAAGAUUGUUUUCUUAUUAUCAGAGGACUAAAAUCAAGGAGUGAAUGGUAACCAGGGAGAGCAGAGGAGAGAAGAAGAAGAAGAGGAAGGGAACAAGUGAGAGAGAUGAAAUGAGUGAAUGUAUAACUGUAGAGUCAGACAAACAAUAUUUAUAGUUUUUUAUGUUUUAAUCGUUUUGAUAUGAUAAUGUAUUAAAAAUAAAUUUAAAAAAAUAAAAAAAAUAUCAUUUCGAUUUAUUUUUUUAAAAUAAAUUCACUACUGUGACGGAUUCCUACUGCAGAAAACAUUAAAUUAAAUUAAAUACCCUGGUCAGGAAUUAAUGGGGGUGUGUGUGUGGUCCUAAUAAUUAGAAAUCAGUAUGACUGAGGGGCUGCCAAAAUAAAUUCCUGGCGUGUACGAAAGUACUGCAAUAUUGAAUUUCAAGUUUCAGAGAGGAGAAAGGUCAAAUUAGUUGUUAAUGGAGGGAGGCAUGACAUUAGCAACUCAUUCUUUACACUUUAAGUAGCUUAAGAAAUUUGAGUGAUAAAAUUAUUUAAGAUAUGAUGUUUGCAAAAUGAUAUGGGGAAAAAAAUAUUAUUUUUGUAUUCUUACAUUUAAUCUAUUUAUACGAUUCAUUCAUUUUGUUCAUAUUUUAUUCUUUUUAAUGUUUUUUUUUACAACUUUUGUUUGGAAAAAUUUAUCCCACACGGAUUAAGAAAAUGAUAUUUUACUGUAACAAUCCUAACAUUAUUUUAUUUUUUUAUUACGAUAAAAAUAAAUUUAAAAUUUUAUAUAUUUUUAUUAAUAUAUAUGAUAUUUAUUAUAUUUUAAUAUAUGCAAGCUUUUAUGGUUAUAUUUUUUACUUGAAAUAAAAAAUGUAUUAAUAAUAUUUAUAUAUUAAUUUUUUUGUAUUGAAUAAAGAUACUAAUACUUUAUAUUUUAUAUUUAUUAACACAAAUAGUUUUCGUAGAGUUCUUUAUUUAUAAUUAGAAGUAAAAAAAAUUACAUAUUUAAUUUUUUAUUUCAAGAAAACUUAAACGACCCGCAGCAAAACCCAAAGCAUGUAACUAGUGCACUUUUUUAUUGUGCAGAGCAGUUGAGUUUUGUUUUUUUUUUUUUUUUUUUUGGUUUUUAAACCUCGAGAACUUUUUAAUCAAUUGACUCCUUGCAAGUUGCAACACGAGACAACAUCUUGUAUGGACAUGAACGUAGCAUAUGCACUCCUUGUGUUUUAUUCCCUUGUCUCCUUCUACAAUAAAUGAAGAUUCUAACCACCGUCGAUUUUCUUAAACCACCGUGGAUUUUCUUAAAUCACCACCUCUGUUUCGCGACCCUCUUGCGCUGCCAUGUACCAUUUUAUGUGGACACUCUCCUCUCUAGAAUAUGCAGAGGGAGGUGAGAAUGGACUUUACUUUUUCAAAAUAAAUAAACAAAUGAUUCUUAAACACACGAUGUGUCCACCUUCAAGUCUUGACUUCAUGUCCAAAUAAGUGCCGCAACAUGACCAACUUUCCAUGUUUUGUCUCGUCUGAAUAUUCCUAGCCUGCCUUCCUCUUUACAUUCUCUCCUGCUAAUAUUAAUAUUGAAAGGGCACGUCGGAAGGGAUAAGGACCUUUUUUAUGCUUUAUAUUCCAUUAUCAUUCAUCACUUCUUAUCACCUUGGACUGGAGAACUCUUUCAAACAUGGAUUUGUCGUCUUUGUUAGCUUUAUAACGUGGAUUAACUUAAUGAUGAUCCAUAAUAUAUAUGAACAUAUAGUAUAGUUAAGGUGUGCCCUUUUAUUAUUUUCACAUAUUUCACCUCUUCUCCUCCUCAUUUUACAAGAAAGACCAUAAGUUUAUGGAUUCCAAUUAAUUCAAUCAAAUCGAGUUGGUUCAUUAAAGGAUAAAAUUUUUACAACGAUGACGUAUUUUAUUUAUAAAACUUUAAUUCUAAACUUUACUUAAAAUAAUUAAAAAUUGAAUCGUUUGAACCAACCAAUAUCAUUAAUAUCAUAAAUAUUCUUAUUAUGAAUAUUAUAUUAUUAUUAUUUUUUGCUACUUCUGCUUUUGUGUGGCAAAAUACAAAAUCAAGUUGUUUGAUUAUAUUAUAAAUAUAAGUUUAUGUUUGUGAAAUCCAUUAUAUUUGUGUUCAACCUAAAAAGCAACAUCAAGCUGCUUUUUAGUGGGUUGCAAACUCAGUCUUUUAUCCUCCACUAACUACUCUCUCACACAAAAAACUAUUGUUUUGUACUUGAGGUCUUGACCUAGUGGUGGAAGGGACUUGUUCCUUUCCACCCUACCAGGGUUCAAACCUCCAUGUGCACGCCUAUCACCCUCGUGGUGCCUUACAUGCUUACUGGAUUUGCAACAUAGUUUUAAGACCCGGCCCGGUGGUCGACCCGGUCCAAGGCCCAGGUUCCGGGUUUUGACCAAGUCACCGGGUCUCGAUCGGGUCGUCGGGUCUGGCCGAGCCAAUUCCCAAGCGGGUUUUGGCCUUCGCCCGGACCAGUCCCAUGCCCGGGUCGACCCGCCGGGCCGGUCCGGGUUUUAAAACUAUGGUUUGCAGGAUGUUCAGUGAACCGUGGGAUUAGUCGUGGUGCGCGCAAGCUGGCCCGGACACCCACGUAAAUAAUAAAAAAAAAAAAACUGUUGUUUUGAAACUUCUCAAAAUACCCGUUCAUUUUUUUUUUUUUUUUUUUUAAUAGUAAUCGAGAAAAAUACCCGUUCAUCUUCCCCAUCCUCUUCACCUUCACCAGCGUCUUGACGUUGUCUUGCUUCUGUCCUCUUCUCAUCUUUCUUCCCCCAAAUAUUAUCGCAGACCUUCCCAUUCCACAUUAAUUGAGAUAUUGACUUCAUAUCCAGGGAAAAUAUAUAAAAAUAAGUAUAGUUAAAAUGGACCUCUUGUAUUAUUUUCACAUAUUUAACCUCUUCUCCUAGUUUAAAAGAGAGACGAAAAUCAUUGUUCAUUUGAAAUUUUCUCAUUAAAUCAUGUAUAUGACUCACACAUGUUGAAUUGUUGAUGGAUUUUACUUAUAUUACGCCAUCACGAGCUAGCAGUACUGGCCCAAGGAUUAAUUAUGCAGCUUUUAGGAAUUAGUUAGUUUAUUAUUGAUAAGCAAACAGUGGAAAAUUAAGCAUAUUCUACUCCUUAGUUAACAAAUACCUAUAUGAGGAUUCUGUCACGGAUGAUGAUCUAUUACUUUAAAGCAAGCUGCUCUACAUUGAAAGAGAACAAAAGACUUUAUUUAUUUAUGAUGAGCAAACAGUGGAGGCAUAUUCUACUUCUUAUAAUUAGUUGCCUUAACAAAUACCUAUAGGAGGAUCCUCUCACGGAUGAUGAUCUUUUACUCUAAAUUAAUUAAGCAAAUUUUCGUUGCCCUACAAUGAAAGAGAAUAAGUCUUCAAACCUUGUGAUAUAGCCUGCAAGAAGAUGAUCCUUGAGCGUCAAUCUAUCUUAUUUUGGAGUAUCCCUCCGGGAGGAAUUCACACAAUAUGUUCUCAGUUGUGAUAAUAUUUUUGAGCUUGUUUGUAUCAUAUCCUUGAGCUCUUUGAUAUUCAUGGUCAUCGUGAAAAUCCAUGGACCAUGUUCGUGACAUAUUUUGGCUGCAAAUCCAAGUCAUGCUGGGCAUCAGAAGGGUUUAUUAUUAUUAUUAUUAUUAUUAUUAUUAUAUAUGGUAUGAACUAGCCAUGGAGAUGAAGAAGAAAAUAAGAGGAACGAAUGCCCCCAACAAAUUUAAAGACAACCUUCUUGUAUUAUCUGCUAUAAUUAAAACAUGCUUAAUCAAGAAGGAAAUGAAAGAAACAUGAAAACAUGACACAACUACGAUCUGUCUGCCCUCUAAUUACUUGCGGGAUCUGGGAUGAUCAUGAUCAAGAACAGUGCUGAUCACAAAGCAUAAGUUUUUUUCCCUGGUGAAUCUGCAAUUUUUAAGGUCUCUUCAAUGAGCUUCUUGGCCUUUCUGCUUCUUAUCUCAACUCUCAUGCUAUCACUCUUCUCAAUCUUAUCAUAAGGUUUCUUCAUCUUCAAACUUCUUAUUUUCGAUUUCAAGUUCGUCACCAAGCUCCCCAGCCCCAUCGUCAUCAUGGCCACCACCUUGCUAUAAAACUCCUGUUAGCCACCAAAAAAACAACUGUCAGCACCUUUUAGAAAACACAAAAGGCCAUAAAAAAGAAGAUCAAGAAAAGAGAAGAAAGAGUGCCUUGAGGAACUGUUACUUGCAAGAAGAUAACUUGUAGACGAGCAAGGAAAGGAGAGCGAGAGACUGUAUAAUCUAUGGCACUAACACGAGGUUGGAGAGAGAAGGGGUGAAGAUAUGGUGGCGCACACUGAAAAUGAAGAGGAGAAGUGGAGGGGUUGGGGAGAUGAAAUGAAUGAAUGCAAGUGACUGUGAGAGGUCACAAUGUAAGCAUUAAGAGCUUGGAAG
rnacentral:lncRNA from 1 species